rnacentral:lncRNA from 1 species
UUUUUUUUUUUUUUUUUUUUUGUUGCAUUCUUGGGUUUGUAGGGAGUUUUUGUGAGAAAGACGAAGAUUUAGGAAUGGCUAGGAAAGAAAAUAAAAUGAUUUUUGUAGAUCUUUUGACUUGUUUUAAGAAAAGAUAAAUGUUAAGAGAAGUAUGGGCUACCGAGGUUAGAUGUUUAGAUGAAAAAGGGAGGAGAUGAAGAUUGUAAAAAUUUCUAUGUUUUCUUUUUGUAGCCUUUUCUCUUUUUGUUCUACUGUCUCUCGUGGAAGAAGAAGAUAUUAUUUAUAGCAAAAAAAAAAAAACUUCUUCAAAUUGCUAAAAAUUCGAAAUGGCUAGUUUUUUUAAUUUAAAAAUAAUACUAACAUUAACAAUUCAUUUCAAAAUGACAUAGAGCCUUUAAUACUACAAGAAAAAUGGCAUACAGUGACAGUUAUAAAUUUUCAUAUUUAGAAUUGUUGACAGUUUUUUUUCAGUUAUUGCAUCGCUUGUAAAUGUAUGACCAUCUAUGACAAAUUGAAAAAACUGUCACAAUAAGUGUUUUCAAAAAAUAAAUAUCACAUAUUCAAUAUUAUUGACAAAUGAUGAAUGUCAUUAUUUUAUAUUUUAUGACAAUUACUAACUAUCAUCAGCUCACACAUAUUAGAGUAAUUAUCUAUGAUUCUUUGUCUAUUGACCAUAUUUAGUAUUUCUCCACCUACCUUAACUAGGCUAACCAAUUGAUUUAGUUACUCUAACCAAAUUAUAUACCUACAAAUUUUAACAGUAAUUAAAUAUUUUUUUUUUACAAAAAUUGGUUAAUCACAAAAUUAAAAAAGAUAGUCAAUUUAAAAUAAAAGUUAAUCUAGCAAUUGAAUUAAUUUUAAAUUACAUCCCACAAAAAUUAGCGAAAUUGUGAAGAUGUAAGUUUUAGAAAAUAAAAUUUAAAAUUUUUUAAAGGUGAUUUGUGACAUGCAUAUAUAUCCAUAUAUUGUAUAAUGCAUGCAUGCCAUCCACAAAUGUUUUCAAUUUAAGAAGAGAUGAAAAUAUGUAAAACAUUUUUUAAAACAUUGAAAAAAAAAUCAAUUAUAAUAAUAAUAAUGAGUUUGUACUAUAUUUAGAUGUUGAGCUUUCUCUUUAUGUACUAAUCAAUAUGAAUUGGGUUUAAUUUUAGUUAUAAAGUCUCAUUCCAAAUAUUGUUGAAUUGGUAAAGCAUCAUCAAAUCCAUGGAUUCCAGAGAGGAAAUUAAAUUAAUUAAACUGUCAUGUGCUAUGUCGUUUUGCAUUUUUAAUUAUUGCAUCUAAUACCCACAUAAUUAAUUGUAUAUUCAUAUCUACACAAUUUGUUUUCAAUUAUUUUAUUUUUGCUUUCUAUAUUAUUCUAAUCACUUUUGUUUCUUUUUGGUUUUCUGUUUCAACUUUUUAAUAUCUUACCUCUUUAGUUUUUUUUAAAAAUAAUUAGUUUAUUAAACAAUUUUACUUUUAAUAUUUUUCCAAUUUAAAAAAUCACAAACGCACUUUUUAAAGAAAAAAUUAAAAGCAAAAUUAGCUAACAUUAUCAUUCGGUUUUCUUUUUUAAUAUUACAUGAAAAUAGAAAUGGAAUAGAAUCUCCAACUUCAAAGUUGUUGGCACUUCUUCACUCCUCUCGGCUCACCCUCUAGUUCGAAUACACCGAAUUAGAACAUACUAAUGAGAAUGUCUUUGAAUCAAAGUGGCACUUGUCUGACGAUGAGUUGAGUAGGCUAUGGUGUCUAAGUAAUUAGUAUACUCGAGUAAGCACAUAAAGAAUAUUGCUUAAUCUCAUCAAGUUGUUGGUGUGGUCAUUUACAAAGUCAAUCAUCUAACUCUCGUUUAGAAUAUUGUGGAAUAUCGAUCGUGUCAAAAAUAUGUGUGUGGGUUCUCAAAGUUAGAGAGAACUAGUGAUUAGCUUUACUCGAUUAUUAUUAUUUUUUUGAGGUGAAAUUCCACAACUUAGAUGGUCGAUUUGAAACUAAAGGACUUGAACCCUUUUAUCAAGCUUUUCCCAAGUCUUCUAGGUUUGAGCUAGAUUGAUAGUACAUACUUUAUCUUAAUUGAAUUGAGUUAAUUUUUCAUUAUUAAAACAUAGAUAUAGAAAUAAGGGUGAAAUGUGAUCAACUAAGCAGAUAAAAGAAAAUGGAAAUCGUAGUUUAAAGAAUCUAAUUAAACUAUGAUUAAAUCUCUUUAUUUUAUUUAGAAAUAAAGUAAAUAUUAACACCAAUAAAAACAGCAUAGGUAUGUGUUUACUCAUUCAUAAUAAAAAUAGGUAUACUUAUAAUGCAAUUCUCUUGAGCCCCAAUCACAAAUGUAAUUGAAUUUUUUUUAUUGCAUUUACCUAAAGCUAUGAACUUUAUCAAAUGUACUCUUACCAUUAUAGUUACCUUUAUCUCUCACAGUCAAACUGUAAUAGUAACAGUAACAAUAAAUGUGUCAAAAUUUACUAUUAUUGUUAGGGUCAUGGUUACGAUUUGUUUUUCAAGGUCAAAUAGUAACCGCGUAACAGUAACAGUAAAUGUGUCAAUAUUCAUAGUUUUUUUUUCUCUAAAAGAGUAACAAUCAAGGUACGUAACCAUAACCAUAACCCAAAUCAUAAUGAUAACGAUAACGAUAACCAAUAAGAUGUAAUUUUCGAAUGCAAUCGGAUUGAUCGCCAUCUACUCGUCAAUCGGGUUAUUCUUUUUUAUGGAUUUAAACAUGAACCUCAUGUAUUAGUACGAAUGCAAAAUACAAGUAAACAACAUCAAACAUAAUCACAUUACACUCAUUUUUUAAAUUAUCAUUAAUUCAAUUUUUUCUUUGUUGGACUACAGUAAACAUAGUAAUUCUCAAGGAAAGUAAUGAGAAGAAUAAUGUGGGUAUAUAUAUUACAUGCAUGAAAUGGUAAAAGAAUUGUAUAAUAAAAUAUUAAAAAGGAAAAUGAAAUAAAUUAAGCUAUGAUUAAUUAAGAAGGUAUGGAGAUAAGGUGGAAGAGGCCAUGUAGUGUGUGUGUGAGAGACUUUUGGUCUAACCAAUGUUAUGAUUUUCAAAAACCAAAUCAUUGGAAAGAAUAAAACAAGAAAAUGACAAAACACACUGAAAAUCAUUCCUUUAUAUAUAUAUAUAUAUAUAUAUAUAUAACUUAAAAAUAUCCAUUAUUUUCUCUCCUAAUUAACUUUUUUUUUCUUUUUCUUUUUCUUUUUUAAGGGAACACACACAGCUCCUUGAAAGUGAUUACCUAACAAAUUAACAAAUAAUGUCUCUUCCCUAAUGCCAUAGAUCUUUUUUCUUUAUUUCUUUAUUUUUAUUGUUUGUAGACAAUAUACACCCAUAUAGCUAGAUCUAUCUUAAAUGCAUGUUUUCAUAUGUGCACAUAAAUCUAAAUAAAAACAAUAUGCUUUUAGGGUAAUUGCCAAAUUUUAUUCAAAAAUGAUAAUGUGAUAUCAAAGUAUAGAUUAGGUUAAAAUAUGUUUUGUUUUGGUUCAUCCCUAUCGAAUUUGUUUUAUUAGUCAUAUAAUGUACGUACUUUCAAAUGUGUGUCCUAAUUUUGUCGGUGUUUUAUGAUAUACUUCCAAAUUAUUAGAUUUUUUCUUUUCUUUUUUUUUUAAAAAAAAAGAUAAUCUCUUUGUAUUUAAAGAUUCAUUAUUUUGACCUAAAUAUAUCAUUAACAAUAAAUUGAUGAUGGUAUCCAUCAUCCCAUAUAUUAGUUAAUUACGUACCCAUAUCCCUUAACUCAAUAAAUAGAAAAACUUACCCAAAUUUCACCAAAUAUAAAAGGGAAAUAUUUAUAGUAUAUUAACAUGGGAUAUGCUCAAUUGGAUAUAGAAAUAAGGUACUUCUGAAAACAAAUUAGUAAAAAAUGAUCCUUCUGAAAUAAAUUAGGUAAAUAAGAUUUCUUUUUCUUUUUGUUUUUUAUUUGAUUUGUGUCUCUUAGAACUAGCUAAAUAUAUUUUUUAAAAAAAUUUAAAAAUAAGAAUGUUGUCUCUUUUAACAUAGGCACUCUAAUGAUAAUAAUAAAAAUAAACUCCAUUUACCUAAAUAAUUUAAAAUUAUAGUAUCCAUUUUUUCUAUUUUUUUAAUAAAAUACCUUAUGUAUCUUAUUAAACUCUGAAAAAACAAUAUCAAUUUAAAUUCCUACACCAAUUUUCUUCAUAAAAGUUUUAAUUUCUUUCUCCCUUUUAAUUAGUCUUUUUUUCUUUUUAGAAUACCUUUUUAAUCUUGUUAAUCUAGGUGUCUUCCACCAUUAAUAUUAAGUGGUCUUUAACUACCCAAAAACGUGUUUAUAAUCUGUCAGAAAUACAACUUUUGAAUAUUGACUAUAAGUGCUAAAGACAAUUAUUAAAUAAAAUCAAUCAAUUGAGAAUUUCCAAAUCAUAUAUAGGAAUCACAAUAUAAAAGGUUAGGUAUAUACAUAUAUAUAUAUAAUAGUUGUUUUUAAAGUGAUUUUUUAGGACAUAUUUUAUUGAAUGUGUUACAACCUUCUUCUUUUUUUUCAAUUUUGUUUGACUAUAUGUAUGUUUUCUUGAAUUAUUUUAGCAUAUGGUUGUUGUUGUAUUUUUUUUUUUUUUUAAAAAGCAAUAUAUAAAGAAAGAGAGAGUAACAAAUAAAAGUCAGUAAUGUACUAAUGUUUUGAGAAGGACAUGCAUGCAGUCAAAUUAAAUUCAUUUGUAUGUCGUCCUCAUUCGCCAACUUUUUUCUUAUUUUAGAACUCAUUUUUAUACAUUUUCUUCCAUUGCUAAUUUGGAAAACUCAAAUAGUUUAGACAAUAAUCAAUCCUUUUCAUGCUAGAAUAAUUUCCAUUUUAAAUCGUAGAAAAUACAAUUUAUUCUCUUCUUUUUCUUUGAAGACUAAAGGAGUUGUAAUUGUCAAUAAGAUAAUUAAUAAUUAAAAAAAAAAAAAACCAAAGUAGCAGCCCAUUGUCCAUUGAGUUGAAUAUUCCAUCCAUUAGAUUAAUUAACAAGAAAAUUACUUUUCUUUAGUCCAUAAAUUUUGGAUCGUAGAUUCCUUUCUUUAUCUAAAUUUUAAAAUAAUUUGUUUGGUUAGAGAAUAAUAGGUUAAGAAAGCCAUAGUUGAAGUAACUUUUUAUUUUAAAUCGUUAUAUGGUAUUUUAAAUUAGAAAAUUAAUUUUAGAGAGAGGAGAUAAUUUUUGUAAAUUUAUUCUUUUAAGUUAAUCAAGUGAUAUAUAAUUAUUUUAAAUAAUAAUAAUAAUCCUUUCGGGACCCUUUUAGUUAAACACAUUCUUAUAAAUUUAUAAAUUCAGAGACCAACACUAACUUCUUCUUUUUUUUAAUUAUGAAAUUUUUUAUAUUUUAAAAUGUUACUAUAUUUUUGAAAAAGAAAAUUUGUGAUUUAGAGUGAAUUCCUAUUUUAUGUAUAGCAAACCGAGAGGGCGGCAAAGUUUCCCUCUUUUCCUUCUCUGCUCUAUUUUAGAUGAGACAAAUAAUAUUUUAUAAUCUUAACUUUUUCUUUUAUUUGUUUAAUUUAUUAUAUAUAUAAUUAAUAUUUUAGUUUUUAUUUUUUAUUUUAAAGCCAAUCAAUAGAGAGGUACUUAUUGUGUCUAUUUCUCUGUUUCUUCUGUCCUACUUGUUUUUAGUUUUUUUAGUUCAAUACAACAUUUUUUCAUGUGGGAAGACCAAUUCAAAUUAUACCCUAUUUGGGAUGUGAUUUCAUUCUCUCCUCUUCCAAUUCUUUCUAAAACAAACUUUUAAUUAAUAAUUAUUAGUUUUAUACUUUUUCAAUAUAGUUUUUUCUUUUACUAUUAAAUCACUCCAAAUAUGAUUUAGAGUCAUUUUAAAAAUGAAUGUCAAAAUUAGUGUUCCCAAACCAUGUCUUAACUAAUUGCAUAACUAAUCACUCUUUUAUUAUUAGUAAUUAACCAAACUUUACAUUAAUGGGUAAGUUAAAUAAAAUCCUUUUCACUUCUUUUCUUUCCACCCUUUACAUUUUUUUGAAGGUGUAAGUAAUAUUUAUAGGCUUUAUUUAUAAAAACAAAAACAAAAAAUCAAAUGAAUAUGAAAGAAGAACCUAAUAAUUUAAAUAAAUGACAAAUGCGAUAACAAAACACAUUGAAUAUUCGUGAUUAAGUUAACACAUUUUUAGUAUCUUCAUCGUACAUUUAUAUUUGAAAUUGCAUUAAUUAAUAACAAACUUGAUAGUAUGAGAUAAAGAGGGUGAGAGAAGGUAAACUCAAAGUAUUGAGAAAUCCAAAGGAGGAUAGGUUAGAGAAAAGCAACCCUAAUCCAGUGGUGUGCAAAAGAUGCAGCAUAGCCCCCAAAAAAGAAGAAAAGAAAAGAAAAAUUGAAUGAAAGUAAGAGAAGAUGGGUUUAUGGUUAAAAAGAUGAUGAAAGCUUUUGAUGUAUAAUGAAUGGAUGAAUGAUGCCACAGUAAUUGGGGAAAGGAUCUACUCAUUUCCCAUGAUAUGGAUCUAAAAAGAGAAUUACAAUUUACAAUAUAUUAUUAUUUGAGAAGAAGAAAGUAAUUCUUUCUCUUUCUCUUUCUCUUUCUCUUUCUCUUUCUAACUCUAAGUUGUAUAUAUAUAUAUAUAUACAAAAUGAGACUCUCUUUUUACCAAGACAGGCUUUUGUAACACUGUUGUUUUCACACCUUUAUGUGAGAGAGAGAAUGGGAAAAAAAGUUUGUUUCUUAGAGAGAUUAAAGAAAAGAGUGGAAUUUUGUGAGAAGAAGAUUUCAAAACUUUCCCCCAGAAAAAAAAUAUAAUUGAAAAUAUACAUCCAUUCAUUGAAAAACAUAUCUAGUUUCACUUCUCGAUUUUGGUUCUAAUUUUUAUUUAGUUUUUAGAUUUUAAAAUGUUAUAUUCUUAUGAUAUGAUUGUAUUUGAAGCUGAAUUAGAUAUCCAAAAUUUCAAUUCAAUUAAUUUUAAUAGAAAUAAAAAAUUAUCAAUUUAAUUAUAAGGAAUUGAUUUUUGAAAAAUUAAAGUAAUAAACCAUCAAAUUAUUUAUAAAAAAAAUCAAGAUUUGAAAGUGUAAAUCUUGUGCUCUUUUGAUUAAAUUGAAAAGAAAUUCAUAUAAUGAAAGUUAGAAUAAAAGUGUGAUGUUUUGAAAUUUAAAAACCAAAUAGAUCCAAAAUUCAAAUACAAAAAUGGUAUUUUUCUCGAAUUUACAUCAUAAAUAAUUGUGAUUGAAUGAGCAAGAGUAUGUUUAGAUGGACUAAAAAAAUGCAUACUUUUUAAAAAAAUAUUUUUAUUUAAACUCUAGACAAAAUAAUUUAAAAUAAAACUUGAAAAGUAUUUCAAUUUUUUAUUUAAAAUAAAACUUGAAAGGUAUUUAAAAUUGUUAGUAAUUAUCAAACACUACAUUUUCUUAAAUAACUUCCUUUAAAAAAAAAAAUUCUUUUUUAGUCACCAAAUUUUGAAAAAUAUAUAUUUAGUUCGUGAGUUUACAUAUUUACGAGUAAACUCAAUUUUUUUGUUCACUUUUCUAAUAUAUCUUUUAUGGUUCCUAAAUUUUUAAAAAUAAAUUUAGGGAGUGGACUUCAAACCAUUGUAUAUUUUUAUUUUAAAUAAUUAUAUAACAAAGUCAUUUUUGGACAAAUUAGUCAUAAUUAUCUGAUAUUUUAAACCAGAAUAAAAAUUUCUAAAAUUCAUAUUCACUCUAAAUUUAAUUAUUUCUAAUUUAAAUAUUAUAUAAUUAUUUCUAAAAAAAUCAAACUAACAGAAUAUUUCAAAAAUAUGUUAAACCCUAUUUUUUAAAAAUUCAAAAAAGUAAAAUACUAGGUUUUAAAAAUUCGAAAACCAAAUAAACUUACUUUCACUCACUGGAACACUAAAAAUUACCUUACUUAAACUCACAUAUUCUUUAAGAAAAAAACUCAGGCUAAAAACAUAAUUUUUUCGAAGAAAAAAAUAUUUACAGAGAAUAAUAAUUAAAAGAUAAAAAAAAAAAAAGAAAAACAGAGGAAAAGACAGAAAGUGCAACAUCUCAAGGGUUUAGGCAGCCGUAGGCUUCAAUUUCCUUUGCCUCCUUAUGGUUUUAUUAUGUGUGUGUAUAUAUAUAUAUAUUCUCUGUCUUUUACACUUUGUUUUCUUUUCACUACACAAUAAUACUUCAUUUUAAUUUCAAAGGUAACUCCCUCCUCUUUUUUCUUCUUCUUUUUUGUUCAAAUCAUAUAUAUUUGGGUGGCUAUUAAUUAUUCUAUUUCAUUUCAUUGAUAUUAUCAAGAUUUAUAUAAUUUAUUUCCACCAAAAAAACCAAACCCAGAUUUUGUUUACUCUCUCUCUCUCUCUCUCUCUCUCUCUCUCUCUCUCUCUCUCUCUCUUUCUCUCUUCUUCUCUUUCAUGCAUUUUUUUCAAAAAAAAAAAAAGAAAGAAAGAAAGUGUCUGAAAAAUUGUCUGUUGGGUGAGUGCCAAAUUCAACACAAAGAUUCAAUUUCAAGAGCAUUGGUGGUGAGUUUUCAGUAAUUAAGUUGCUAUUCUCAAAAGAAAGAAAGAAAGGAUCAAAUUAAAUAGACCACUUUUUAGGUCCUUUCUUUUGUUCACUUUCCUCUUGGAUUUUACUCUUCCUCUUUCCCCCCUUUAUUUCUUAAGAUCCAUCCACUCUAAAUUUAUUUUUAUUUAAUUUUAAUUAUUAUUCUUAUAUAUAUAUAUAUAUAUAUAUAUAUACCUGUAUAUUAGGGAUGAUUAAAAGUUUGUUGCUUCAACAUCAAUCUCAAGCUAUGGAGGAAAAUUUGUCAAAUUUAACUUCAGCUUCUGGUGAAGCCAGUGCCUGCUCCGGCAACCAUUCCGAUCAGAUUCCGACCAACUAUUCAGGCCAGUUCUUUUCCACCCCACCACCACCAAAAAAGAAGAGAAACCUCCCGGGAAAUCCAGGUUCUUUUUCUUUUGGGAAUUAGAUUUAAAUGAUUAAGUUAAAAUUACAAAAAUUUCACUUUCAUGUAUUCGGGUGUAAAGCUGUCAGUUACAUUGUUUGAUUAUUUUGUUUACGGAUCUGACGAUUGUGGACGUUUGUUUUGAUUUUGAUGUUAGACCCAGAUGCGGAAGUGAUAGCUUUAUCGCCGAAGACGCUUAUGGCGACGAAUAGAUUUGUAUGCGAGAUCUGUAGUAAAGGGUUUCAGAGAGAUCAGAAUCUUCAACUUCAUAGAAGAGGACACAAUCUUCCAUGGAAAUUAAAGCAAAGGGCAAACAAAGAAGUAAUAAGGAAGAAAGUUUAUGUGUGUCCAGAAACAAGUUGUGUUCAUCAUGAUCCAUCAAGAGCAUUAGGGGACUUGACAGGAAUCAAGAAGCACUUUUGUAGAAAACAUGGUGAGAAGAAAUGGAAAUGUGAUAAGUGCUCUAAGAGGUAUGCAGUUCAAUCAGAUUGGAAAGCUCAUUCCAAGACUUGUGGCACCAGAGAGUAUAGAUGUGACUGUGGAACCCUUUUCUCAAGGUAAAAUUAAGAUUUAUCUUACGUAUCUACGUCCUACUUCUACUGUUAAAUUACAAAAUUUAGUGAUCUUAUGAAUUUUUUUACCGUUUGAGUUUUGUGCAUAUACUGAUAACAUGUUAAUUAGAUAUAUAAUUAAAAAACACGGAUACUUGCUAGUUAUAGGAAAAAAGCUGUCAUAAAAUUUCGAAAAUUUUGUGUUUUUUCUACAAAACAAACGCGUGAUUUUGGCUUUAGUGAUGGUUUUUCUCUCUCUUCUCUAUAUUUACUGAUGUUCAUGUGUCAAGAAAAAUCUAAUUUGUUCUAGUGUGUGCUUAACCUUCUAUUCACUUUAGAUCACUUGAGUUUAUAGGUCUUCUCAAACACACUUAUCAUUGUCUUCUCUGUACUUCAAUUCUCUAGCUUUAUUGUAUGCAUAUAACUCUUCUCCUCCUGAAAUGCAUUGUUUAUGGACAUGAAGUAUGAUGAGGGGGUAAGGCGUGUUACAAAAUAUGUUAAUGCUUGAUCCUUCUAAUCUUUUAGAAUUUGACAAAUAUAAAGUUUAUUAAUUAUAUGUCAUUAAGUAGUUUUAUGAUAAUUAAUUGAUGUGCUUUUGAUUAUUUCAUGGGGUGUUGUUUUUGUUGUUAUGAAUAUUAUUCAGGAGGGAUAGUUUCAUCACCCACAGAGCUUUUUGUGAUGCAUUAGCUGAGGAAAGUGCAAGAGCCAUUACAUCAAACCCCCCAAUACUAAUAGCAAAUAAUAAUAAUAAUAAUUAUAAUCAAAACCACCUUCUUCCUCCACUUUCUUCCAUUGCCACUCCCAAUAUUAAUUCUCAAUUAAACUUCCAAAUUACACAACAAACCCAUUUCAAUAAUCCUCCCUUCUUAGAUAAUACCUCGUUUAAUAAUAAUUCUCUAAAAAAAGAAAAUCAUCAAUUACAAAGCAAUAAUAAUAAUAAUGAUAAUAAUAAUAUUCCCCCAUGGUUAACCUUUCCCAUUAAUAAUAAUUCAACCUCAAAUAAUCAUAAUCACCAUCAAAUUAUAAACCCUAAUCAUAAUCAUAUUAAUCUUGGUCCCACUUCUCUUCAUCUAAUACAAAGUGCUUCACCUUCUUCUCCACAUAUGUCAGCCACAGCACUUCUUCAGAAAGCAGCUCAAAUGGGAUCUACCAUGAGCAGCAACAGCAACAGCAACAACAAUAAUAAUAAUAAUAAUGCUGAGCCACCACACACAAUCAUUCCCCAUACAAAUUGUAAUUUUGGCCUUAACUUAUCAUCCACCACCACCUCCUCCUCCUCACGUGACAUUCAUCAGAAUCAAAUUUUGGAAGAAGCUGCAGCAGGGCUUUCUCAUGCACUGCCAUUCUACAGGAACAAAAUUGCUGAUUUUGAAGGAGCUGGGACUUCUUUUGAAUUAGAUCAAUUUGGAGGGGUUUUUAAGAAAAACAAUGAUCAUCAUCAUCAUCAUCAAGCUGCAGCUGGGCUCAGUACGAGAGAUUUCUUGGGGUUGAGAGCUAUUUCUCAUACUGAAUUCUUGAGUAAUAUUGCAGCUGCUGGUAAUUUUAGUCAUUGCAUUAAUAAUAAUCAUAAUGUUGGUGCUGCUCAGAAUCCUCAAACUACUCAAAUUCAAAAUCAAUCCACUUGGCAAGGUUAGAACACCAAAAUUUCAAGUUCUUUUUUUCAAUUCUGUCCCUUUUUGGUUUAGAUUAUAUAUGAAAUAUAUAUAUAUAUUUUUUUUAAUUUUUGUUGUUUUUUUACAAAGGGGUCUUUUUUCCCCUAAGGGGGAAGGACCACCAUUUUCUUGAAUUAGGAAUUUUGGAUCAUAAUAUUCUAUAUGUUUUUGUAUGUAUGGAUAUAUACAUAUAUAUAUAUUUCAGUGUAUAAUUAAUUCUCAGUGGAUUAUUAUUUCUUGGUACGAAUGAAAUUGUAAAGUUAAAUCCAUCUUUGGGAUUUCUUAAUUUUGAGACUGAAAAUAAUUGUCUCGAAUUUUUUAAUUGGCAUAGUUUUUAAAUGUCAUCAAAUUUCAGUUUUGUUAUAGUUCAUUAUUAUUAUUAUUUAUGAAAUUGAGAAAACCCUAGUUAGCUUCAUAAAUUGUGGAGUUUGAAUAUAUAGUGGAUAGAUAGAAUAUACAUCAUAGAAUUAAAUAGUAUUAAUGGUGAUGGACAUGGAAGUUCUUCUUAAAUAUUUGAUGUACAUGUACCACACAUUUAUUCUAUCUUAGCUAUGUUUUAAAGUAUAGUAUCUUCCUUGAUAUUUAUUGACGUACAAGUUUUAAAUUUUUUGCCAUGUGUGUGAUAUAGUAGAAAACUUGGGGACCCUGAUUUAAUUAAUUCGAAAACUUGGAAGGGAAACCCUAGGUUAAAAGUACUUUUCCCAUUAAUUUUGUAUUUAUAUCUAUAUUUGAAUAAUAUAGUUUAUCUAUAUAUAUAUAUAUAUUGUAUAUUCUCUCUAAUGUUAGAAAAAAUAGGGUAAUUAUUUUCAAAUUGAUUUCAAUUAAAAUCUUAAUAGAUAUUAUGUCAUAUGCAUCUCUAUGUAUUAAAUUAUAAGCUCAAUUAAUUAGAGAGUUGUGAUGAUUGCAUUUAAUAACUUGAUAAAUAUUUUAUAAUACUGUUCAUCAAGAGAGGUUUCAAAGAGUUGAUUGAAUAUAUUAUUUUUCACACCAGUUGGGAAGGAUAGUAAAUAUAAUAACAUAUGUUAAUGUUAAGAUUUAAGUUGGUUGCCAUGCAUUUGAAAUACACAAUUAUUUAAAAUCUGACUUUUUUUUUAUAAAAAAAAUUAUGAAGUAUUUGUGUUGUUUUAUUGUUCUAUGAAGAUUGGAACAAAAAGUCUUGGCUUACAAAUAAUUAAACAAUUAGUUUAAGUAAUCAUUCUUUUAUGAUUUGUUUAAAUUACUGUUUACUUUAUUUUUCUGGCAUUUUCUUUUCUUUUCUUUUCUUUUGUUUCCUUUUUUUCCUUUUUUGCCAGCCUCUUACAAUUUCAAAUCCAAGUUGGGUACUAGUUUUUAAGAAUUUAUUUUUGUUUUUAAAAAUUGAUUAAUAAUUCAAAUGUUUAUAUAAUAAACAUUAAAACCAUAUGCAAAAAUUAGGAAGAAACAAUAUUGAAAAAGAAAACAGAAAUGAAAAAAUGAAAAUCGUUAUCAAUCAACGUCUUAGUAUUUCAAAUUCGAAAUGGGUAAGCAACAAGUCACCUUGUGAUUUGAUAGAAUAUUUUUCAUAUAUACAUUAUUGCAUAUGUAUCUUUAUCAAUAAACAACUAAAAUAAUUAAUGAAAUUUUCCUCUCCAUAUAUUUGGAUCAUAUGCACACACAAGAAGAAGAAUAUUGUUUCUUAGUCCUUGCAUUUUUGUUAUUUCUUAAACUCCUAGUUAUUGAUUACAAGAGACUAAAGAAAUAGUUAAAAUUAACAUCAUACUUAGAAAAGAAAAAAAAAAAGGAUUUUCUCCAUGUGUCAUACCAACAAUUGAAAUGACGUAUUUUCAUAACUAUGAUAGAUUCUUAUUGCCAUUUUUUGUUUAUAUUUAAAAUUUAAAAUCAUUCACUAUAAUAUAUAUUAAUCCACUUAUCAAUCACACUAUAAUAGUUUAUAUUACAACUACAAUAUGAGGUGAAUGUCUCCUGCCACUAGCAGACGUUAGGUUGGCGUAAUUAUAUUUAGAUGAUAAAGAUAGAUAUAAGCAUAAUUUAGUUAAUUUAUAUCAUUCCUAAUUCCCAUAUAUAUAUAUAAUAAAAGUACAAUGGAUGGUCUUUAAAAACUUUUUAAUGGGUUUAUAUAUAUAUAAUAAUUAAUAGAAAUCUUUAUAGAAAAAGGCUAUAGGAAAAAGCACUAAGUUAUUCUCUCUUUAAGAAUGAUAGUGAUCAGUAUAUAAUGGCUAGAGCAUGGGAAUAUACAGAAGAGAUGCAAAUAUAUAUUAUUAUACAAAUAUAUAAGAUACUAUAAAGUUAUGAAUUAUAUGUUGAAGCUUUUUAAAGGGACAGUAAUUUAUUUUAGUCAAUCAAUAUUAUUAUUUGUAUAAUGGAAGCCCUUUUCAUUAAGAAAAGACCAGCACCCAACAAAAUCUCACUCUCAAUCUCUUUUUAUAAGAAAAUAUAUAAAUUUUGAUUGUAAAUGAUAAAUGGGUUGAAAAAAAGAUGGUAAAAUUUGAUAAAUAUAUUGAUUCAUUUUAUUAUAUAUAAAAACAAACUAAAAUGAAUUAGAAUUAAGAGAUAUAAAGUUUGAAAGGGGAGAGAGGAAAGGAGGGGUAUUUUAGGUGUAGAGAAAUGUGAAUAAUUAGCAUAGGAUUCUUGAAUGAAAAGAAUAUGUUGAUGGGCAAAGAAGAGAAUAUGUGUGUGAGUUAGGGUUUUGUGUGUGUGUUUAAACAUAUUGCCCACUUUUCUUUUUUGGUAAACAAAAGGGUGAGAGAGAGAUGCUGUUUGACACCUUAUGUGGGUGCAAAUGGGAAUCAAUCCCAAGGCAUAUAUAUAGGAUCAACAUCCAUCACCUUUCUCUCUCUCUCUCUCUCUCAUCUCUGCCUAAAAUUCAUUUCAAAUUCUUUCUUAAUAUACCAUUUUCCUUUAUAUGUUUUUUUUCAAUAAAUCUUAGACUUAGUUUCUUAAAAUUACUUUUUAUCCAAAUUUAUUAAAUAAUUAAAAUAAUAAUUUUCGUACAAAAAUUACAAUAUAUGAACACGAUUCAACAUAUUAAUUAAUAACUUUUUUUAAAAAAGAAAAUCAACAAUAGAUCCGUAUUAAUAGAUUGAAUUUAAGAAUUUUUUAGAACACAUGGAUUAAAUUUAGAUAAUUGAAAGUAAAAAAAUUAAAUUAAAUAAAUUUCAAAAUAUAGGCACCAAAAAUCAUAUUUUAAUCAAAUUUUUUAUGACUGUGUAUCUUCUUUUUUCUUCUUCGCCAAAACCAUAUUUAAAUAAAAAAUUGUGCAUCAAAACAGACCUACAGUAAAUUUGCAAAUAAUUAUUUAUUUCUUUAAAAAAGAAAACAUUAUUAUGAAAGGAAGAUAUGUAGAGAGAUUAAAGUGAUGAGCAUUAAGCGCCAUGCAAAAAUGUGAUAAUUAGCCUAUGAUAAGAAAAAGUGAAUCCUAUUGGAGAAACUUUAUGGUAAAAUAAUUAUUUGAGAGAAUAAUUAGUUAGGUGUGUGGGAUGUGAGAGAUUUGUCACACACAUACUAUAUAUAAAUUAGUAAAAAAGAGAAUAUAAUGGUAUAGAUAGUGGGAAGUGGGGUUGCAAUAUUAUUAUUGCAUACCAUCUCUCUCACACACACAUUUUGCUUUAACAUUAGAAAGAGAACAAGAGGUACGUAGUUUUCCAUUUUAAUUAUACCUCAAAUCAUCUCGAUAAAUUUUUAUCAACGCCAUGGUCAAUUAUUAAUACUUUAAACAUGAAAUAUUAUGGUCUCUCUUCUCUUCUGUUCAUGAUUAGAAAAAUAUGAAUAAUGGUAUUUUUGAAAAGGUGGAAGGAUUUUUGAAAUCCCACCCAGAAAUGUUUGAACUAAAAAGAGAUAGAAUUAAUUGAGUUAGAUCAGUAAUGAAUAGUUGGGCAGUUCCAAAAUGAUUAAAAAAAAAAGUUUCAAAUGGGACAAUAAAUAAAAGGUUUUUGUUUUGAAAGAUUGAACCUUUUUAACAAAAUGAUGAACACGAGAAUAGACAAACAUACCAUUCUCUGUUAUAAAUGUUUGCCACUUACAAAAUUAUUCUGACUUUCUUUUUCUUUAAAGAAACCAUUUAUUUAUGUAUAUAUAUAUACCAAAUUUUUUAUUAUAUAAUAUAUAAAGUUUUAUAUUUAUUUGGUCCAUGUGAAAUUGUGGGGAUAUACUGAGAAAGGCAGACAAAACAGUAAGGGACACACUUCCCAAACAACCCGUGUUCUACUUUUUUUUCUUUUUUUCUCUUCUUUUCUUUUACAUUUGUCUUACAAUCUAAAAUUUGUAGAUGAAAAUGUCAAAUAGUUUCACAAUUAUUAACAUUUUAUACAAAUAUUGAUCAAAUAUUGACGUUGACCAAUAUUUUUUCUUAAAUGCUAUAAAGCAUUGAAUAGUAAAAUAUAUUACGUUUUUUUUUUUAAUAUUUUGUUACUUACUUCUUUUUAUUGAUUUUCUUGUAUAAGAAGUAGUAGAAAUGUUGAUAUCUCCAUUCAAAAUUUAAUAGGAUUAUUUUUGCAUCUAUUAACCAUUGUUAUAUUUUCAUCUUUUCAGAAGCUUAAUAGUUUUCCCAUAAAUUUCAUUUCAUACUCUAUUGUUGUUAGCAAGAAACUUUACCAUUCAUUCUAUUUUGCAGUUCAAAAUAAUAUUUUUUUAAAUUUUAAAUAAUUAUAUAAUUCUUUUUAAAAAUUGAAUAAGAAUACUUCAAAAAUACUUUAAAUAUAUAUUUUAAAAAUUUAUGAAUCAAAUAUAUAUAUAUAUAUGAUUAUAAGCUUGAACAGUCAAAAAGAUACAUUUUUUAAACGUAUGAGAAGAGAGGUAAAAGCUCUAAUUUUGUAUCAUAAAAAACCACUUAUUUAUCUAAAUUUUUACGUUUUGCUCUUGUUCUGUAAAAAAAAUUGAUCUGUAAAUUAUAAAUUGGGAUGAUUUGAGAAGAUGAGAAUUUUAUCCAAAGCCCUUGAGCGAUUGUAGGCGUGGCACAUGUCUAACAUAAUUAUAUAUAUAUAUAUAUGUAUGUACUUUUUGAGUCAUAUAUUAAAUGUUGAUUAUUUAGGAAAAAAUGAAAUCACUUAAAAAAAGUUGAUGGGUAACUAUACAUAUAGAAAGAUCAUAUCAAAAUUAGUGUUGAUAUUUUAUGUAAAAUUUAGUGACAAAGACAAGGAGUUCUGUAUAAAUAAUAUGACAAUGAAAACUUAGAAAAAUAUAUAGGAAUAUAAAAUAGAAUUGAACCACACUUUUAUAUGUGCAAAGGGAAAAAGGAUAUGUAAAUUAAAAGAAAAAUAGUUGAUUCAAAGAUGAUUAUUAGAAAGAAUGGGUUGAUUUGUCCCUUUGUGUAUAUAUAUAUACUUUUUUUUUGUGGUGGGUAGGCAUUGGCGUAGCCAAAGGCCAAAGGCAAUAUAUAUAUAAAAUUUAGAGGUUAAAUUAUAAUAUUUUUUUUAGAGAUAAAAGAUUUCAACCUACUUCCGUAUAUUUCGAUACUAGUUGAGAUAAGAUUUUGUUAAGUGAUUAAAUUAGAAGUGGUUCCUUAUAAUUUAGAAAGAAAGUUUUAAAAGUUAAGAUUAAUUAGUUUCUAAUCUCAUAAUUUUAUAAACCCUCAUAAUUUGUACUUAUAGUGAGACCACAGUGAAGGUUAACCCUAAUUUUCUUUCAAACUAUUCAACAAAAUUUACGAUUUAACCUAAAUUAAAAUAUAGCCCUUUUACAAUAGCUUAAGUAGUACCAUUAAAAAAGGGCAUUGAAAUUCAAACAUAUUCUCCAUUUCCAAUCAUCAUAUUUCCAACCUUUAUUUUUAGUUCAUUUUGGAUAAUAAUUGCAAAAACCCCUUUACUUUGGAUACCCUUUGAGUUUGACCAUGCCAUGCCAUAUAUACUAGGCCUCACUUUUCUUUUGACUUCUCUAAAAGCUUUGACCUUUAAUUAUAUUUCUCCUUUGUUUUUGACAUACACACACACACACAUAUAUAUACAUACUUUGAGGAAACCCCAAUAUUUUUGCUUUUAUGGGAAUGGAGCUUCAAUUCUUUCUUUCUUACCUCCUUUCCAAGAAAAAAAGAAAAUCAUGAUAUGACAUUGAAAUUUUUAUGUCUUAUAACUCUUAGAUUGAUUUUAGUAGAAAGCUAGUGUGUGAGUACUAAAAAUAUACUUUAUAAAUGGGUAGAACAUGGUUAUCAUUCUUAAAUUUGACAUUAUGUUUCAUUUAUUCAUCAAGUUGGCUUCUCCUUUGUAAAGUACCCAAGUAUUCAUAAAAAGAAUACAAUAUAUUAUUCAACCAUAUCAUCUAUCUCACUCCAUGAAAAUAACAUGAUAAAGUACUUUGUUGUAAAAGGAAAAAAAUUUAUAAAGAAGAAAAGGUAAGUAAGGAUAUGUUGUCUUUUAAUUUUUUGAAAUGACUUUAUCUAAGAUUUUAAAACCAUUUUUCUUUAAGUGUUUUAGCAAAGUUGUAGUAAUUAAUUGAGUACUUGAAAAUUGAUUAAUUGAAACAAAGCUAAACAAUUUCCUAUAUAUUGGUGGUAGGAAUUAAUAUUGUUUUCUUCUUGCAUGAAUAUUAUAAUCUCUAGACAAAUAUAUAUCUCACAUAUCACACCCUCAUUUUUUAGAUUCGUUGGUUCUUCGGUGCUGCUACACUACACUAUUGCACAUGAUUUCUAUCGUAAGCUAAUUUUAUUUGGACACAGAAUAGCUUACACAAACAAAAAUAAUAACUUUCAUUUAUAACCAUACAAGUGGAUAACACAUUUUUAUAAACAAACUAAAUACAAGCAACCUAUUUGGAUCUUAUCCCAAAUACAAAAAUUGGCUAAAUUAUAUAUAUCUUACAAAAUACCUCUAAAAUUUAAAUAAAUAAAAAAGUUUUUCACGGAGGUGGUUAAAGUUUUCUACCCUAACUUUCAAAAUUUUAAAAAAUGAUUCAAAUGAAAAACUCUUACUUAUACUAAAUAACUAAAAACGUGCCUUAGAUUGGAACGGUGUUAAUAUAUAUUUUUGUUAAAACAAAUACAUAAUAUGUAGUGGUAAAUUUAAAAAUAACAAUGUUAAAAAUAUAUAAUAAAUCUUAAAUGAUAUUUCAAUUUCAACAUUUAAAUUUUUAUAAUAUUUUUCUAUUUCUAUAACAUUGUUAAAUUUUUUAAUCAAGUCAUUGUAUAAAUUUAUUUAAAUUUUUGUUGCCGGAAAGAGAAAAGGUGUUGCAUUUUUUAUAUUAAGUAAAUUAUUGUAUAAUAAAUAUAAUUUUAAGUAAUAAAUGUGAGGAGCUUAAAAAUAAACUAUUUUUAAAUAUUGAUGGAUAAUAUUAUUAACAAUUAGAUUAGAAUUAAGAAAGGAAGAGUGAUAAACAAUUAAAUUUAAUUUAAUAAAUGUGUGAUCAUAUCUUCAUGUAUGAUAAUAAGUUUCAAUACCUCAAACAUUUCUUUCUUUUUAAUUUCUUUUAUAUAUAUAUUUUACAUAAUACUCUAUCUGAGGCUCCAAUUAUUUUAAAAAGGUUCCAAACAUUGGAUUGGCAAAUACUCCAUUAAAUCGAUAGUUCUAAAAUGAAAAUAAAAAUUAACUUACAAAACAAUAGAAUUCAGCAAAAUUUAAAUAUUAACAUUUUCUUAAUUCAAUUUUUUUUAGUUAACAGAGAAAAUGAGUGGAUAAAACUUGAAGGCAACCAGAAUUUUUUAUAACAAAUUUAACUAAAUGAUGCAUCUAUAUUGAAUAAUUGAUGAUUAUUGUUAUGAGAUUUUAAAAUCCAAUUCUUUUUAUUAUAAUAAUUGUACAAAAGGUUACAAAAUCAUUUAUUUUUCAUAUUACAAACAACUUAUAGAAUUUGGAAAACCAAGUCUAUUUUGUUUGGGUGCAAAAUGGUUACCAACAAGGUUAAAUGUUUUAAAUUAUUUCUAAAACAUUAUUCACGCCAUAUAUGGAUGACUUUCUCCUUUUCCUAUUCAAGAUAAAACUUGUAUUUGUUUGUUAUUAUAUUAUAGUAGAACAAAUAUUGAAAGGGUAAAUUAAAAUGAUUAUUUAUUAUAAACACAUUAGAAGGGGUGAAUGUUUUCUUUCAUUAUUUUUUUAAAAAUGUAAACACAUGUACUUGACUUUUUUUAUAAAUCGAAAAACUUAAAAUUGAUAUUACUACGUAGAGUAAUAUACUCACUUUUCAAAUACUUUAAUCUUUCUAAAUUAAAUAUUUAAAAAUGUAAUGAAAAUGAGUAAUUACAACUUUUACAGAUAAACCAAAGAUGAUAAUAAAGUGUUGUGUGUGGUAAGCAAUUAGAAAAAGCUUAAGGCUCCGAGAAAAUUAAAUUAAAAUCACAAAAAUAGCAAAAUGAUUUUUAAUAUUAUUAUUUAUUAAGAAUUGUCAAUACACUAAAAUACACCCAAAUUAGAAUUACCAUACUUCAAAUAAAUCUUAACCACUUGUAUUCUUUUCUAAAUCAAUUACAAUAUUUAUUUCGAAAUUAUCUAACACUUAAAUGUUGUCAACUUAUAUUUUUUUUUCUACAAGCAACCCAAAUAUUUCAUUACGUAUUAAAAACAUAAAUAAACCUAAGACGAUCAAUUCAAUAUUUAAACAAUUAGUUUCUUUUUGUUUAAUAUGCUUAAACUUGAAAGUAAUAAAACACACAAACCAUUUUAUAUAUUAUUUAUCAUAUCACUACAUAAAUGAUAGAAUUAUUCAAAUAAUAACAUCCUAAUUAUAAUAUUAACCUUCUUUCAACAAACAAUAAAGUUGAAGAUCAAAGAGAACAAAUAAUCCUUAAUUCCCAGUUCUUCUUCAAUGAUGAUGUUUAGAUCAGUGAAACCACUCUUAUUCAAAACCUUUUUAUUUGCUAUUUGAUCCAAUUUUCGAUGUAAAAAACCUCCCCAAAAAGAGUUAAGAGGGAAGACUAGAUAAAUUAUAGAAUUAAAAGGGCUACUUUGGACAAAUACCAAAAAGAAUUUAAUUAUUAAAAUGAAAAAUUCGAAAAAAUAAUAAAAAAUAAAAGUGUGAAAUGGAAAAAAAUACUCUCUCCAAUUUAUUUAAGUUAGUGAUUUCUAAACACUUCAAAAAAAUACUCAAGUAUCCUAUAAGAAAACCAAUUACUACAAAUACACACAAAUAUAAUGUAUUAUAAACAUUUGAUAAGCAAAAAUUAAAUAACACCCAAUGCGGUCCUUAAAGCUUUUGGCUGCCUAUGCAUACAAGGAAAGCUAACAAUGGACUUGAGUUUGUGAGAUGGUCAAAAGUCAGACAUGGAAUUCAAGAAAUGGUUGUUGAACCAACGAUCAGAAACAUGAGAUCGAGAAGGAGAAAAAGAGAAUGGAGGAGGGGGCUAAGUGGAAAGAUGAGAUUUAGAGUUUUUUUUGUUAUCUUAUUUUAUUUAGAUUGCUAAAUAAUAAUAAUAAUAAUAACAACAACAAUAGAUCAUAAUGAUGAUGAUAUUAUUAUAAUUAUUGAAGUAGGGGAGAAAAGUAAGGAAUUCUUUUAUUUAUUGUGAUUAAUUCGAAAAUUAGUUAGAUAAAAUGUAAUAUAAAUUCAAAUAAAAUUGGAGGGAGAAUUUGCCAUAUUCUGAUAUUCCUCCUACCUGACCCAAUUGACAAUAAGGCCCGUGAACUAAAUAUCCUCAAGACUAUAUAUGGGCCAGCCUACAUCAUUAGGCCCACUUACUAAUUUGAAUUUUGGUUAACUAGUCAACACGAUUAGAGGGAAAAAUUCUUUUGAUGUUUUAGAUAAAAGAAACUCAAUCUAAUAAAAUAGGGUUAAAACAAUAAAAUACAACCAAAUAUUUGUUGUUUUAUAAAGUUUAUUAAUGAAAUAUUUUGAUAUUUUUGGAAAACAAACAAAUAAAAGUUUAUUAAAGAUAAAUACAAAUUUAAAAUAAUAAAAAUGAAGAAAAUAUUUCAAAUUUUUUAUUAAACCUAUAUUUUCUAAAUCUUAGUAAAAAUAUAUAUUUUGGAUUGUUUAAAUAUAUAUUUUCGAAAUUCUAGAAAUAAAUACAUAAGAGAUAAAAAUUAAGUUAGAAUAUAACUUUAGUAAAUAAAUAUACAAUCAAUUAUGAUUAAGAGUAGAUAUUUUGGGAAUCUAAGUAAAUUAAAACAAAAAAAAAAUAUCAAAAAAUACAACUAGAUCUAUGAUUUUGCUCUUAAAUCUCUAUUCAUCUACGAUAUAAUCCCACUUCAUAAAAUCGUACAUGGUAUAUAACAAAGAUGACGUAAGAUGUUGUAACUUACCACCAAGGACAAAAAUAGGAUGUUUAUAAAGUUAGAAAUGAGUUUCUUAGCUAACAUGAGUUUAGCUCAACUGACACAUGUAUGUUUUCGUAGAAGAUUACCGUCAUAUUUGUCAAAUUUACAAUAUGCAAAAAAAUGUGUUAUGAUUCAUUUUUUUUCUAAACUUUUUUCGUCAUCUAAUACAAUUUCUCUUAUUUCUAUGGAUUUAGUUUUCAUAUAUUUUUUAUUAGCUUAAUUGUUUUAUCCUUAUUUUAUUAAGGAUGAAAAAAUUAUUAAAGUCGUGUGUAAAUAAAUUUUAUAGAUGUGCACUCAACAAAAAUAGUAUGAGAGGUAUACAUAUAACACCAUUAAAAAUUUCAAAAUAUUUUAAAAAAUGAUGGAAAGAGUUGAAAAUAAAAGGAAAAUAGAGAUUAAUGAAAGAGAGACAGUUAGAACGACAAAUGCGUAAGAAGAAAGAACAAAAAUAAUUAGGAGCAAAUGUAACCAAGAAAGGAAGAAGAAGAAGAAAAAGUUUUUGAACUUCGUUGAAUGAAUUACAGUUCGAAGCUUUCAUCCAUGGCCAAGAGACGGCACCUGAUGCCUUCCCUUUUCUUCCUCCUCCUCAUCUUCCUUACAGUUCUUGGAGUGAUCGUUCCAGUCUUUGCUCUUCUUCCUUCAUUACAUUCUCACUCCCAUCCUCUCUUCCGCCAUCACCAUCAUCGUUCCAACUUCAACAAGGUUUCUUCACUUUCUUUUUGCGUCUCAUUAAUGUCUAACACAUUACUCAAUUGCUGUCUCGAUGUUACCUUGGACUGCUUGAUUAAUAUUUCAUUUCAUACCAGUUCUUUGAGCUGUAAUUCACUUCAUCCUGGUAAGUAGCACCUCUUAAUCGUUUUCGUGCCUUUUAAGUUCUUGGAUUUGGGUAGUAGUUUAAUACUGAACUUUAAUCGGAUUCGUUUAGCGUAUUCAUGUUCUAUUCCGAUUAGAGGAAGUCAAGAGUACAUUUCCAGGUUUUUUGGAUUUAGAUAAUUUACAGGUGUUUUGAGUCCUUGAUGUCAGUAGAAGCAAGUGUUCAUUAAUCUUUUGGAAUUCUUUCCUUGCAUUUGGAUCGUCAGUCUGCAACUUGACACUUUCAGCAACCAACCUGAAAUAAGCUGGGCUGUGAAUUUUACCAUGGAGGAAGCCACUUCGGGGUUGUUUGGGAGGCUAGGAUGUAAACGGUAUUACUGGGUAUUACUGAGAAUCUAACGGGUGUUGGAAUAAUUUUGAAAUUGAGGGUGGAACAAAAUGAGAUCGUGAAGCAAAAAAAAGGUGGGAAAGAGGAUUGAGUUGAAAACUAUAAGAAGGAAAGGAGUUUAUUAUUACAAACCGGCCCAAAAUACUCAAUCUAAACAUGGGUUUGGAAUUAAAACCCAUUACAAACCCAUUCUGUUCAAUGCUCCCAAACAUGCCCAUAAUAUGAGGAUGGCAUUUCCUCUUUAUCUGGUAGAGAAUUUUCUCGAAGUUUCCUCCUAAUUUUUCAUUUUUUAUCUCCUUGACUGCAAUCCCAGUUAAUUUUCCCUCCUAGUUUCUCAAACUGGAACCAUACUCUGCCAAUUCUUCUAAACCAAAAACUCCCUAUCAAGUUUGAGUUAUUUGCAGGGUUCGUUUAGAAAAUAAUGAUAAAAAAUAAAAAUUCAGACAAGCUUUAAUGGAACAACUACUUACUGAUAGUGAGACAACGAGGCUUUCAACAAGAAAUCAGUUAGCAUUUAAAUAGUAAACAUUAAAAGUAUGUUCUCUGUUCUUCUAAUUAGAUGAGUUUGAUUCCACUAACAGAAACAAUUUUCUCUUCAUUAGUUUUCAACUCUAUUAAAUAGAACACAAAUAACUAUUGAAUAUAUUUAUUUUUUGUUUGCCAUAAUAAAGGUCUUGACCUUCUCUUGUAAACGGUGUGGCAUGGCCUCAUCUUUGACCUUCAUGUUUACAUUUUAAGAUAUAGCCGGCAUUCCACAAUUCUCAAGCAGUUGGAUGAUUUGUUAUUUUAUAUCAGGUUCAUACUAGAAAGUUUGAGAUUGAUGAUGACAUGUUCUGGAAAGAUGGUAAACCAUUCCAGAUUAUUGGUGGUGACCUGCAUUAUUUCAGAACUCUUCCUGAGGUAUUUAUUAUGCACUUAUUUCCUUUCAUGGUUAUAAAGUAAUAAUACAUCAUGGAUGGAAAUGCUCUCAGCGAUUGGCACUCUAUGAAUUUCCUUUGGCUUAUUACUUCAUCUUUAUAGUGUCAUUCUUCAUCUUUCGGUUCAGUUCAGACUAGUCGGAAAUGGAUUUUGAUACAAUACUUUGAAGCAGGUCAACGAAGUUUCAUGGCAGAACUAAGGUUUUGAUUUGUCAAAUAUGUUUAGCAAAGCUGUUGACUGCCUUUCACUAACUUAGCCAUAAUAACUUUCAUAGUUACACUUACAGUCACCAUGCUGAGAAAAUUAGUUGAGGCUCCCAUUCAACUUUUUCACAACUUUUCAUACAUGUUAGAGAAAUUCAAUAGAAAGUAGUAAUUGGUACAUAUCCUCAAGCAUAAAGUUGUUGACUGGAAGGUCCGUAACUUCAAAGUUUGUUUUUCUUCUUCUUGCAUGACUUUUUAUCAUGUGAAAUUAUGUCAUGCUUGCAGUACUGGGAAGAUAGACUGCUUAGAGCAAAGGCAUUGGGAUUAAACACGAUCCAAACUUACAUUCCCUGGAAUCUGCAUGAACCAAAACCUGGAAAUUUCACAUUUAAUGGGAUUGCAAACAUAGUGUCGUUUAUCCAACUCUGUCAGAAGCUAGAUUUUCUAGUUUUGCUCCGGCCAGGGCCUUAUAUAUGUGCAGGUAGACUCUCAUUGGCAUUAAUUUUAAUUCAAACAAUUCAAAGUCUUAUUUUGAUUCAGAACCAGCAUCUUUUCUUUCUUGUGACACCAGAGUCUUCUUUCAAUAUUUCGGGAGAUUCAUUCAACCUAUUUUGUCAUUAUCUGCAGCAGUGCCGUUGAUCUUUGACCAUUUUGACUCUGCUAUAGAUGUUCCUGUGUGCUUGCACACUGAUUUUAAAAAGAAAGUGAUAUUGGUUUGGUGACAACUACUUUGUAGUGAGACUAAAAGAUUUUCAAAUCACCUAAUACUCUUUGUGAUUAGAAUUGAUUCCAUUCUCUAACUGAUUCUUUAUUGAAAAACUCACGAGAUAUAUAAAUCUAAUUAUGAUCAAAUGGUUUUUCAAUCCAUGACUGCAUGUUUGAACUGAAAGGGUAUGUUACUGUUAUAUAAAAUCAUAGACAACGUAUGUCGAAUAGCUUUUCAACCCAUGACACCUUGUUUGGAUUAAAAGGGCAUGAUUCCAUGAUAUCAAAUCUUGGAUAAUCUUGAAAUUUUUUGAAGCUCUUGGUUUAACAUACAAUUAUAAGUCUGUUUGGUCUGGUCUGCAGUCACUUAAUUGGUUAAGAGAAUCUAUUCAUUGAAAGGUCUGUUUUCAUGACCUGACCAUUAGUAAUGAUGAUACAAUUUUGAUGUUGAUAAUAAAUGUUUAGUUAAGAACUCAGAACCAUUAAAAAAACGAAAAAAUGGACAUUUAAGUGAAAAAGAUUCUUAUUGUUAUUUGCUGCAGAGUGGGACCUUGGGGGUUUUCCUGCUUGGUUGCUUAGCAAAAUGCCAGCUUCUAGGCUAAGAUCCUCGGAUCCUGGUUACCUCCAAUGGGUAUGUGUUCUUUAUUAUAAGCUUCCGAGUAAGUUAAGAACAGUGUAAUAGUUCAACCCUUGACUCUGGGAUAAAUAUUAAAUUCAGACAAGUCAGUUUUAUGUGUGUAAUGUGACAUUUUCUCAUGUUAAUACUUGAUACGUUACUAUUUUUAUGAGAAACUUUAGUUCUUAUGAUUUGAUUGGAAAAGAUGUUUGAGUGCGGAAAAUUUUAGGAAGAUAAUUCUACUGACUAUAUAUCAGGUUCAUGCCACUUUCUUGUUGAGUUAAAAUGUGUGGUGUGACCUUCUAUUACCCUAUUAUUAACUUUGUCUGGUUCAUUAAUGAAUUUGUCUUCCAAUUGUAUAAUUGUAUUCAGGCUUUGGUUCUUUCUGUAAUAACAUAUUACCCUUCUCUUGAUUUCAAAUUUUCUUUCACAUCUGUCUAUAACUUCAAUAGUAAAACAAGUGAGAGUCGUUAAUGGAAAUGGUUACCUCAUAUACAUUCCAUGAUUCAUAUGUUUUUAUUUAUUUAUUUUUAUUUUGAGAUGGAGAAGUUUAAGUAACGAAGUAUAAUAUGUACUUUAUACAUGGUUACCCACCCAUGCAGACGCUCUUAUCUUGUACACUGUCUACUUCUGCAAACAGAUUCUCUUAUUGUGUGAUAGUUUCUUAUAUGAGCCGACUUGUACACUGUCUACUUCUGCAAACAGAUUCUUUUAUUGUGUGAUAGUUUCUUAUAUGAGCCGACUCUCUUUUAUUAAGAAGUGUGAAGUUGAAGCCCAUCCUUUCAGCUGCCUGAAUCCUUAACUUGUAAAAGAAGUAUCUUAUGUUUUAGAUUUGCUCAGUGUAUAUUUUUUCACCUAUUAUUUCCUCUUGAUUUGUUUGUCUACCCAACAGUUUCAAGAUCUACUUUUUUCUUAAUACAUGGUAUAACUGAUUAUAGGUUGAAAGAUGGUGGGGGAUUAUUCUUCCGAAAGUAGCUCCCCUUCUUUACAAUAAUGGAGGCCCUAUAAUAAUGGUCCAGGUAUGUAAAAUUAUUAUUUUUAGCAUAGCUUCUAAUAAUUAGAGUUUCUAAGUUGGACUUAUUCUUUGUGCAUUGUUUGUCAAGAACUUUUUAGGCUUCCUACAAUACUGGAAACAUUCUGUAUUUUUUUAGGGUCCUUUAGGUAGUCUCUUGGUCCACUUUCACUGUUCAUGGGCCAAAUUCUAUUUCCUGUCACUGAAAAGGAAAAAUAAAAGGAAAGGAAGUUAAGGUUUUAUUUACUAAUACCUCUUGUAUGGUCAUGGUCUAGUACAUGUAAUGUAACGCCUGAGAUUAGGAGGGAGACAUGAAUGAAUCGAUAUCACAUCUAAAUGAGAGGGAUCCUGAGGACAUUAAAGUACUGUUAAGAAAGACUUAAAAGAAUUAAAAAUUAAUACCCAUACCAACAAGAUGCACCUUCCUUUUUGGUGGCUCGAUCAUAGGAACUCCAAAGUUAAGCGUGCUUAUCUUGGAGCAAUUUUAUAUUAGAUGACUUCCUGAAAAUGUUCCUAGGAUGCAUGUGAGUGAGGACAAAGCAUUCUGAAAGGACUCGUGUUGGUUUGUGGGGAGAACUUUCACUCUAAUAAGCCUUUAAGAAUAGUCAGGAUGAUGCUGUCAGGUCACAUGGGAUGUAGGAGAAUGUCGGGGAUCCAAAUUCCAAAUCCUGGUUCGAAUCUUGGGCCUGCGACAUUACAUGUAAUGUAGGGUAUUAUUACUUCUAAAUACUUCUAAUUCUACUUAGCAGUCUUGUUAACACAGCAUGACUGACUAUUGCGGUUUUAUUUGUACUAAAGAGAAUGGGAAUGAAAAGAUGCCCAAAAGAUGACGUGGAAAAUGUUAAAACUCAUAUUUGGGAAAGGAUAUAUUAAAUGCAGUUACGUGGUGAAGCAUUAAUGCACAUGCCACCUUGAAGCAGAUAGUUACAAUUCUUUUCGACAUAACUGUUUUAUUGCUAUUUUUUCAUUACUUGUUUAAUGGUUAAUGACUUGAAAUUUUUUCGAAUGAGAUAGGAUUCCUAAAUUAGAAAACCAUCAAAUCUGUUGGUUCAUAGUCUUCUACCUUGUCUGGUUCAAAUGAUAAUAUUCUUUUCCAUUUUGAACAUCCUCUGGUUGUAAACACUGCACUUAGAGCUCCAGAGGGACUGUUUUGACAGAUUGAAAAUGAAUUUGGCUCAUAUGGAGACGAUCAAGCUUACCUUCACCAUUUGGUUGCGUUGGCAAGAGGUUACCUUGGGGAUGAAAUAAUAUUGUGAGCAGUUCUACUUAUUCGAAGUUACGUUCAUUGUUAAAAAUAAUGUUUUCAGCUAAAUGAUAUGAAAGAACAAUUAUACAUGUUCUCUUUGUGGCCGAACAACUUUACAAUAUUCAUCUUGGUAAUGCUUCUCGUGGCUAUAUAAUUUAAUUUAUAAACUAAUAAUCUAUUGAAAGACCUAAAUGGAAUGAUUUUUUAAGUGUGUACUUAUUUUUUGGACAAAUUGCAAAAACCACCCCUAAAAGUAUGGUGAUACUUGCAAUGACACCCUCAAUCUUUCAAUAACAACAAUUGGAUCCUUACUUCUAAAAGUCUUAAAAUUAAACCUUCAAGCCUACAAUAAUUGUAAAAAUUGGACCCACAAAUGAUAAAAAUUAAAUAAUCAAACUUGUAUAAUCAGUACAAUUUAUACAAUCCAAUUAUCAAAUUUGAAUAAGUUUGAAAGCUUUAUUUUUCAUUUUAACAGUUUAAGAAUAUAAUUGCAACUACUAUUAGGUGGUUUUUGCAAUUUGCUCUUUUUUUUAGAUAGACAUUUCAAACAGACCUCUAAUUGGCCAUUCAAAUAGGCCUUGAUGUGCUUCUAAUGCACGGUUCAAAUGGAUGCUCAUGUAUGAGAACAAGAUUCUACUAGCGUACGGAGAUCCUACUCUUUCUUAUAUCAACAAAGAAGUCCGCUUAUUUUCAAUUUUAUUUUUAAGCAGCUUUACAGUUUUCCACAACUAACUGUUCUUGUGACACUGUCCUCUAAUGACUUUUAGGUAUACUACGGAUGGAGGUACUAGGGAAACUCUUGAGAAAGGAACCAUUCGUGGCAAUGCUGUGUUCUCGGGUACAUUCAUAAUUCGAUUAUGCUUAGUUUUUAACAUGACCACUGAUUUUAUCUUCUUAUUUCUCCAAAUUUUCAACCUUGUAGAGCAAUUAUUCACGAAAAAUAGGGCAGUGCUGCCUUUCUGGCUAUUUUGAACUCGAACACUUCCAUUUGCAUUCUCUGUGAAUGGACAUAAUGUCGGUUCCAUCUUUUACUGUCAGAAAUGAGCGAGUAUGAGGUGUAUUGGUUGACAUAAAAUGCUUGCACUAGUACUUUUUUGUCUAUUUCUUUUUCUAUGGUGCUUAAUGGAAGUUCUUGUCUCAUAUUAUGUUACAAACGAAUUCUAUGCUUACUCACAGGCCAUGUAUUCAAAUUAUGAUUCAAAGUAAUACAUUUUUAUGGGAAGUGAUAGAUAUCAGAAUAAAAUGCCAAUACAGUUUUGAGUUUCAUUUUUCUUGCUCCUGGAAUAAGUUCUUGAAACAUACAAAUUUUGAUUUAAAUGGGUUUCUCUUCCUAGUUCAUGGUAUUAUGAAAAUACAAUGAUGUACAGUAUCAUCCUCAGUCCUGUAUUUGACCUCCCCCAACCUUAUUUCCACUGUGUAGCUGUUGACUUUUCAACCGGUGAAAGACCUUGGCCUAUUUUUAAUUUACAGAAGGAGUUCAACCCCCCUGGAAAGUCUCCACCUCUUACUGCGUGAGUGUUAUACGCUCUUAAAAUUUCCUCUUUUGACUAAAAAUAGAGUUUUUAAGUUCAUGAAAAUUUGUCUGUUUAGAGAGUUCUACACGGGCUGGCUUACACAUUGGGGAGAAAAUAUUGCAACAACUGAUGCCAACUCUACGGCAGCUGCCUUGAAUGAAAUUUUGGCAGGGAAAGGGUCUGCUGUGCUUUAUGUAUGUCUGGAAAAGUAUAUACUAUAGUUACUCCUCUAUUGUCAUUUUUAAAAACUAUUUCAUCCUUCUUUUUAGAUGGCUCAUGGUGGAACAAAUUUUGGAUUCUAUAAUGGAGCGAAUACUGGUAAUGAUGUAUUGGAUUACAAGCCUGAUCUUACUUCGUAUGAUUAUGUAAGAACGUCAUUAAUGUUGCUUUACUUUUUCCUUUUCACUUAUUUAUAAUUGUGAAACGUAAAUAUCAAGUCACACCUUUUCAGGAUGCACCAAUUAAGGAAUCUGGUGACGUUGACAAUGCUAAAUAUGAAGGUUAUCUUCCCCCAUUCUCUUUCUCUUUUCUUUUAUCUUUACAAACUUUUGGAUGAAUCGGAACUUCUUUUCCCCCUUGACACUACCAACCAGACUUGGAUAGAGAGUGGCUCCCGGUCAACCCAACCCCAUUUCAAUCAAAUGAUGGGGUCCAUAAACUUUCUAUGAAAUUACUCUUUUCUUGUAACUUGACAUCAUACAAAUAUAAUUUUAUUUCCUUUCUAAAAAGCCAUUCAUGUUUUUAGUUAGUCGUAGUUGAGUAAGAACUAAGAAGUGGGCUAGGUUGUUGCACUUGUUAACAGCUAUGGAUGAUGGAAGUGCUUGUAUCAGAUAUAUACAAAGCUAAUGUCAUUGUUAUUUUCCCCCUUCUUUUGUAUAUAUAUGUAUGUAUGUAUUUGUAGUAUUUUUAAAUUUUAAAUUGAUUUGUCCUUGCAUUUUGUCAUUUUUUAGAUGAGUGACAUGUAAGGAAUACAAAUUCAACAAUCAUAUCAUUUCCACUUCAUGAUGCAUGUUGUUUAGAGAUUCUUGUUAAUGCUACCUUUACAAGAUUUGUUUCCAGACAGUACUACUUUCUUGAACAUCAUCCACCAAACUUAGGCCUUUUCAAAUUCUAACUUCCAUCGUUGCAAUCCUCUAGCAAUUCGAAGGGUUAUACAGCACUACAGCGGAGCGCUGAUUCCUUCCGUUCCUUCUAACAAUGAAAAGAUAGGUUAUGGACCAAUUCAGUUGCAGAAAGUUGCAUUUUUGUUUGAUCUAAUCCAUAUGAUGGAUCCAGUUGAUGUGGCUGUAUCUGAAGAACCACUAUCAAUGGAAUCUAUGGAUCAGGUGUGUUUUAAUUUGCCAUUUUUAUUAUGAAUGAGCCAAGGUUGUUGAAAAUUUGAAAUAUUUAAUUCUUAGAAGUUAAUUUUUUUUUUCUCAGAGCUUUGGAUUUCUGUUAUAUACGACCGAAUAUGUGGCCAAGGAUAAUGAAGAUGGACACGUUUUAUUUAUACCAGAGGUGCAUAAUUAUUGAAGCAUUUCUGUUUUAUUUUGAUUUUGUUAGAAAGUGUUGUUUUUGUUCAGGUCUUGAUAUCCUUCUAAUUCUGUAUUACCAACAUCAUGAAUGCACGACUUAUCUUGAUAUCCUUUUUGCAGGUGCAUGAUCGAGCACAAGUGUUCCUCUCUUGCUCUUCUAAAAACAAGGGUGUGCGGCCAACUUCGGUCGGCAUUAUUGAAAGAUGGUCAAACCGGCGUCUUAAUCUGCCAAAUACGAGAUGUGACUCAAAUACUUUAUACAUUUUGGUAUCAACGUCCUACCUUCCGCUGCCAUUGUUUUGUUUGUAUUUGAUACACAAGCGCAAACAAUCUGGGCUGAAUAUAUUUUUUCUAUUCUUGUUAUGCCAUUGUUAAGAGUUAUUGUGGUGAUAAAUUGCUUCAUGGCAAACAUAAACAGUUGCCCUUAAUUAUUCUCGAUCCUAUUCUUGUUAUGUGAUUAAGAAUUUAUGCAAAUGACUAUUAACCCAACAAUAGCUAAAAUGUUUAGCGCAGUGCUAAUUUGCUAUGUUAUGAAUGAAGAGAACUCUUGUGUUCAAAUGUUUACAUUAUCAUUUUGACUCCGUGAUUGAGAAGUGUUGGAGUAUAUUAAUUAGUAUGUUCAUAUUAUCUCAUCCCAGGUUGAAAACAUGGGUCGCAUAAACUAUGGACGUUACUUAUUUGACAGGAAGGUAAAGUUACCAAUGCAAACUUUUUUUUCUGUUCCUCUAGACAUCUGAAAAAAUUAAUGAUUUGAUUUUACAACUGAUUGUUCUUGCUUGCAUUUUGCAGGGUAUCUUAUCAUCUGUUUACUUGGACAACAAUGUUCUACAUGGAUGGAAAAUGAUCCCAUUGCCUUUCAACAACCUGAAUGAAAUUCCAAGAGUCGAUUUCUUCUCUCAGAUUGCACAUUCUAGACUCAACAAAAUCAUAGCAAAGAGAGGUUUAGAAGCCAAGUUUGGUAUGGGUUCAUGAAACUGCACGAGAAUCACGAAGCAAACUCUUCAUCGCUUUAUUUCUCUGCUAAUAUUGCAAUGUUCAUUUGAUUUCAUGCAGGAAUGGUGAAUAUGAAUAACUUACGUUUGUUUUUCUAUUCUUUCUCCAGGUAACAUCUCGGGCGAACCGAUACUAUACAGUGGUUACUUUUAUGUCGACAAAGCGAACCUCAGAAAAGAUACAUACUUGUCAUUUGGUGGCUGGACUAAAGGGAUUGCAUUCAUUAACGAAUUUAAUCUUGGAAGAUUUUGGCCGGUAAACUAGAGUUCAUUUUUGUGUCUCAAAUAUGUUGGAUGUGUUAGAUAGUGCAUAUUUAUUUUACAUUCCAGCAUUGAUCAAUGAAGACUUUGCAGGUUGUAGGGCCACAAUGCAACCUAUAUGUUCCUGCUCCAAUUCUUCGGCUCGGGAAGAAUGUACUGGUAUGAGAGUUUUUUGCAUUGUUUCUCAUUCCCAUUUCCUUCAAAUUGCCAUUUUUGCUCCAAACAUCUCAGUUCGAACUUGAAACCCUACCUGAUACAGGUCAUACUUGAGUUAGAAUCUCCAAAUCGUGAUACUGUCGUACAUUCUGUUGAUCGGCCAGACUUCACUUGUGGUUCUUCCAAGUCCAACUUAUCUCAGCAGCUUUUAAGCCACCAACAUUCUGUGGGCCUUUGAAUUUGAUAUGAAGGCACAACCUUAAAUCAGCCAUCUAAACUGAGUGAAAUGAGUGAUGAAUACCUUAUGAUUUGUUUGUAAUGGGGAUUAUAUCAAGUUCAAGAGCAAGUUGUUUUUCAUAUUCAAAAGGUAAAAACUUUUUACGGUUAUUGAGGAAUCCAGGAAGGCUGAAAACUAUCUUCUUGAAGAAUUUAUAACCUUGAAUUCUGAAAUUUAGGGUCUUUUUUUAAAAGAAAACUUCAGGUGAUGAAGAAACAAAAAUAGCGCAUGAAACAGAGAACUCCCAGACGACAGUAGACUAUUUUAGGAGUUCUUGACAAGCGUUUUUGAAGAUGAAGUGUAUGGAUGAGUUUCAUCAUUUUCUUGUAUUUAUUUAUUUUUUUCGAAAACAGUACUACCACUCUAAUCACUUUUUCACUUUUGCAAAUCCUUUAAAUGGUUUAAAUCAUUUUAAAAAGUAAGAUUACAUUACGUUAAAAAGUGUAAUAUUAAAUAUAAAAUUUAUUUUGAAAGAUUAAAGUGUGUUUUGGAGUGAUUUUAAACCUUAACAAAUUCAAAAUCACUGUCUUACAUGUAUUUAAAGAAAUCGUAUAUAUACUCAUUUCUCAAAUUAUAAUUUUUGAACAUGGAACAACUAGAAUUUCUCCUAUAUUUAGGGGUAGUGAAUCAAAUUUGAGUCUUUACCAAAGUGAAUGCUUCCCCACCUUAACAUUACUAAAAUGAAGAUUAGUAAUAGCAUGUCAAUGACCUAAAAGUUGUGUAAAAAUGAUCAAAUGACCCAAAUUUCAACCGGAGAAUUACCAAAAAUAGACCAAUUUUGAAUGGGAUUGCUUUUUAAAAAGUUAAAUUUUAGGAUAAAUGAUGUAUGAAACGUAAAAAAAAUGUUCUUAGUUCUUACAUGAAAAUUUUCUUUAUUCUUAUUUUUAUUUUAAAAAAUUAUAUAAAAAGAACUCUCUUUCCCCAUUUUUCAUAAUUUUUUUUGAACUUAUUUUCUCUCGAGCUCUCUUGUCAUUUCUUAUAAUUUUUAGUCGCUCUUGAACAAACAAUCUGCCAUUUUGGAAGGUGUUUAUAUUUUUUUAUUAGUAAUUGUUAUGGAUAAUCCUCUUAGGUUUUAAUGUUCUUUUGGUGAAAUGUUUAAACCUUAAGUGUAUAAUUCAAAAUCAAUCAUAUAAUUGUUCUAAGUGAUUUACACUUGUUUAAAAUGUGUAUAUAUAUAUAUAUAUAUUUUUUUUUUUUUUGAUGAGACAGACGUAUCAACUUUUCUUAUUUAAAAAAGAAAAACCUUCUUCCAUCUUUAGCAUCCUACUAACUUUCAUUGGCAAAGUGAUAACUAUAAACCACCUUUCUAACUCUCCAAUGGUUGUGACGGCCAUACACCAACUUGUGACUCAAAUUUUUUUUUUUUUUUAAUCUAUCUUCUUCUCCGUGUUUUGCCACGACGAGCUCCACCUCACACUAAUCUCAUUGGAUUAAGGUAUUUUAAAUUUGAACAUUGAGAGAUGUGAACAAGUUGUUUGCAAUAUUAAAAAAUAACUAAUGAAACUACUCGAACAUGUUAUAAAAUCACUAUAUAUAAAUCACAAUAAAACAAAUAUAGAAUUGAUUUGAGAUUGAACAUUUAAAGUUUGGAAGUUACAAGAUAGUUGUGAGGUACAAAAAUAGUAGUUAAAAACUUUCUAAAACAUAGGUAAAAUCACCCUCAGUCACAUAAAACAAGUAUAAUGAUUGAUUUGAGAUUGAACAUUUAAAGUAAGGAAGUUGCGAGAUGUCUAUAGGAUAUUUGCAAAAUGAAAAAGAAAAAACUAACAGCUUUCUAAAUAUGUAUUAAACAACCCUAAAUCACUUAAAACAAUUAUAAAAUUGAUUUUGGACUAUACAUUUAAGCUUUGAACGUUUCACCAAGAGAACAUUAAAAACUAAUAGAAUUAUUAUCUAUAACAACAAUAAUAAAAAUGGACAUUUUUUAAAAAUAGCAAAUAAAUUAAAAUAUCUAUAAGCUAUAUUAAAAUUUUAGAUUCUAUUCAUGAUAGUCUUCUAUCACUAUAACAUACAUAUCAAUUACUAUAAGUGAUAUAAUUUGAUAUAGAUUAUAAAUAUUUUGUAAAAUUUACUAUUUUUGAAAAUUGUCCUAAUAUAAAAACAUAAACACUUUCUAAAAUACUCAUAGUUUUUUUUAACGACUAACCAUUCUAAAAAAUGAGAAAAGAAAUUAGAGAAACAUGGAAAAUUGGAGUUUUUUUAAAAAUAUAUUUAGGGAAAAAGAAGAAUUGUCAUCAUAGAUUCUGUUUACGCCAUAAGCAAUUUCUACCAGAGAUAUAAAUUCACACCAUUGAAUGAUUACGCUUAUCGUGUCAGGUGUCAAUACCAUAUUCGAAAGUUUGAUAAAGCAAUUCAAAAUUUGAUGAGAAUAAACAACAGUUGUGUGAGAUUUUUUUAUGACAUUCCUAUAGAGAAGUGGACUCAAGCACAUGACGGAGGAUUUCGGUACGGGUGGAUGUCGAUGAACCUAUCAGAGUGCAUGAAUGAAGUCCUCAAAGGAGCUCGAGCAUUGCCGAUAAAUGCUUUAGCUCAAAUUACAUUCUUCAAAUGUGUGAAUUACUUCGAAAAAAGGAGAGAAAAUAAGAGAUGCAUUGAAACAUCGAGAUAAAUACACUGGGUAUGGAUUUUUCAACUUUAUUGAGAGAUGGAGAUCAGAGACGCAUACAUUUCACAUGUCGGUUGGAGAGUGCACGAUUACGUUGCAAGAUGUGGAAGUUUUGGUGGGAUUACCUGUUGAUGGUGAGCUCGUUACCGGUUAGAGUCAUGAUGAUUGGUUGCAUCUUUGGUAAGUGUUAAUCAACAAAAUAUUAAAUACACAUGAUGGAGGGAUGGAUCUGUUGUAUAAAAAAAGAUAUUACUUUGAAAUAAAAUUUGGAGGAAAAUUAAGAAAAAAUGAAAGAAAGGGAAGUGUUGAAGAAUAUAAAAGAGAAAAAGAGAAUAAUAAAAGUUAUAUUUUGGUAAUUAGUUUUAAAUUUAGAGCUUCAGCUCUCCAUUUAUCUCAAAACUCUUCUUUUAAAAUCUUUAAUGCCUUAGAAAUAGAAUGUAUCCUUUUUGUUUUUCUUUUUUGGCAAUUUAAAUUUUCAAAUCCCAAACAAUCUCGCGAACCCUAAUUUCUAAAAUUCCGAAAUACGAAGAAGAAGAAAGCAAAUAAAUCAGCAAUAUGGAUUUCCCUGGAGGAGGAAACUGGAGUAUGAUCCCCAACAUCCCUAAUCUCACCAAUUCCUCUAAUCUUUCACAAGAAUCCAUCUUUCUCCAACAGCAACAAUUUUCUCUUCAACAUCAGCAGCAGCAGCAGCAGCAGCAACAGCAGCAGCAGCAAGCAUUUCACCACCAACAACAGCAAUUUCAGCCCCAAAUCCAACCCCAACAGCAAUUCCAGCAGCAACAGCUCUCCCCUCAAUUUCAACAGCAACAACCCUCCCCUCAAAUCCAGCCCCAACAACAACCCUCCCCUCAAUUUCAACAGCAAUUGCAAACCCAACAUUUCCCCCAGCAGCAGCAGCAGCAGCAGCAGCAGCAACAGCAAUAUCAUUUUCAACAACAACAGCAGCAGCAGCGGCUUCUUCAACAGCAACAGCAGCAACAACAGCAACAGCAACAGCAGCAGCAACAACAGCAACAGCAACAGCAACAGCAGCAGCAGCAGCAAUAUCAUCAGCACCAAUCUCUAGCUUCCCAUUUUCAUCUACUUCAUGUAAUGCGUUCAAACCCCCCACAUCAUUAUCAGUGUUCUCUGUGGUACUAUAUUUUGUGUUUGUUGACAUUCUUCGAUGUUUUGUGUGUUGUAGCUUGUGGAGAAAUUAGCGGAUGCAAUCGAGAACGGAACUAGAGAUCAGCAAUCUGAUGCAUUGGUAGCAAUUUUGAUUGUUUUUAAAAAAAAAUCCUUAAGAUUAAUUAAAAUCUUGUUUGCUCUGAUAAUUUGUUCUUGUAACGUUUGGAAGGUUAAUGAUCUAAAUAACCACUUUGAGAAGUGCCGGCAGCUGUUGAACUCAAUAUCUGGAUCACUCAGCUCGAAAGCUAUGGUAUAUUGGAACUCUUUUUUCUUUUUCCUGUCUGCUCAGGUUCUUGAGUGUUCUUCUUGUGUUUGACAUAACCGAUCCACCAUUGCAGAUGCGAUUUAUCAAAUUUUCUGAAGUAUAGAUUUACAAGUGUUAAAAUUUUUCUUUGUUAGUGUCUAAAUGUUGGUGAUGAUGGUUUCUAAGACAAAAGGUUUUAGUAGAGCAUAGUACAAUACUCAUAUAUAGAGAGAUGAAGUAGCAUCUCAUUUGUAACCCGUUAACCCUUUACUACAAGUGCAAACCAUUAAACCUUUGGACUGCUUUUGUGAAGGCUGAGGCUCACCAGGACUUCAAGAAAUGUCCUAUUUCCUUCCGACUUUUGUUUUAUUGGUUUGUGGUGAACGAUAUGUUUUCUUGUGGAAAAAUGAGGUAAGGAUAUUGUUUUUUUUUUUUUUUUUGGGUUGCAGACAGUAGAGGGGCAGAAGAAAAAGCUAGAAGAACAUGAGCAGUUGUUAAGUCAUCGAAGGUACGGUGAUAUAAUGCCAUUUUUUGCCUCUGGUUCUCAUUAAAUUGUCUCAUUCAUCAAUGUGUAUAUUAAUGGUUCUCUAUUCAAAUAGGGAAUUGAUUGGGAAAUAUAAGAACUCUGUUGAAGAGCUUGUCAAGGGCGAGCCCUAGCUAUUUUGCUCCCAUUCUGCAUUAGGUAUACUUCUAAAUACGUUGCCUAUUUCUUUUGUGUAUGUCGCAAUUGUCGGAACUUCUUUUUAGCUUUCUUUUUUCUUUCUCAUUGCCAUCAUUUUCCUAAAAGUUUGUAACUUCUGUGGCUGGAUUUGAAAUGUGGUUUUCCGCGAACAAACACUAAAACUUAGAUGAUUGUCCAAAUUUUCUGUUGAGCACUGCAUAUACCAGAUUUUGUGCAUUCCCAACAUUAUACAUUCUUAUGUUCUGUUGGAAAAGGGGGUCCUUUGCUUAUAAUCACAAUCAUCUUAGCCCGUAUUUGGGGAUUAGGGUUGCCCUUCACUUCUCCUCCCUCAUUUUGUAUGGAUGCCAGUAUUUCUUUGUUGCAAGUAUUUCUUUGUCUAAAAGGGGGUUCAAACUCUCCUACUAUUAAUCAUUCAACAUUCUCUGUAUUGAUCAAUUAUCUAUUGCUCUUAGAUAUCUUAGGUUUUACUUUUAAUUGCUGCAUAUAGUUCUUAGAGGUUUUCCUUGAUAAGUCGAACGCUUGUAUUUUGUUGGAGUUGACCUCUGGUUUUGAAAAUCUCCAAUCAAUUGAACGCCAUGUGUGCUGUUUACACAUUUGAAUUGAAACUUUCCUAUACCUGUACUAUACAUAUUUUUUCUAUUCUUUUUCACAAAUUUGUUCUACCUGACUUAUCUAUUCUACAUCAUUUCAGGCAUGGCUAGCAUCAUGUUCCCAUUUUCAAGUGAUGUCAAAAUUACUUUUCACCGAUUCGCACAACUCCAUGGAGAGAUUCUUAUACCUAAUCUGCUUGCCCAUGCAUUUCCUAACCAUAAUGAUGUUGAAUGGAACCCUUUCUGUACUUCAGUGCUAUGGGGCACCACUUUUUCUGGAAAUUCAUUUACCUCUCGUUUAACUUGUACAGUUAUUCCAACAGCUUACACUUUUAACUCCUUUUUUUGCGACAAUAUGUGGUUUGAAAAUAUUGAACAUCUAACUUCAUUUUUUUUUUUAAUACAAGUACAAUACUUGUUGAGUAGAGUGAGAAUUUAUAGUUCUUAAUUAUGUUGAUUUUGGUGAUAUGCAUAAAUUUUGGCGCCUGAAUAUUGGUUAAUAGAGACUAAUUACGAAUGAAAAUGUAGGACCAAGUGAAACCCAAAAUGCAGAUAAUUUUCCCACUCACAUGCUAUUAACAUUAUUGGUAAAUCUUUGCACCGACCAAAUUCACAAAAGACCACCAUUUCUGUUCUAUCAAUCUAUAUAAUCGGGUCCUUCCCCCUUCUAUUUCUUUGAUCUUCACAUCAGGUCAGGGAUAAACCACAACGAAGAGCUUCACACAUGAAGAGUCUUUUGGUAUAAGAAUUCAGUUAUGUUCUUAAACAUUCAAUUCAAUAAUAGGGUCAUCAAUUUCAUAAUUUUCUAUCUGAAAAGCCAAAUCAUGAAGAAUUUCAUCUACUUUCUCUAAACCUUCUGAAAUUGUGUAUCCUGCUUUGAACAUAUAAACCUUCUUCUUCACCUCAAUCCAGCUCCACCCCGGAACUUUCUUUAAGCCCUUAGCCCUAGCUGAGAUCCUCACCCUUGCAGAAUCCUCCCAUCUACAGCUUGCAGCAAAAAUAUUCGACAGCAACAUAUGACUUCCAGUUAUCUUGGAAUUCAGAUUGGAAAUUUUCGCUGCAGCUUCUUCUGCAAGAUCUGUAUCUUUGUGCAUUCUGCAAGAGUUGAGAAGAGAACUCCAGAUAUAAGCGUUGGGUUCCAUUGGCAUGCCCUUGAUUAUGUUACUUGCUUCCUCCACAAGUCCAGCACGACCAAGAAGAUCGACCAUGCACGCAUAGUGCUCUAUCUCAGGUUCAAUCUUGAAGUUCUGUCGCAUCUGAGAAAAAAGCCAAUGGCCUUCGGCAACAAGACCGGCAUGACUACAGGCAGACAGAGCAGCAAUAAAAGUAACACCAUCUGGUCUAUAUCCUGAUUUAAUCAUAUGAUUAAAAGUUGCAAGAGCAUCUUUACCAAGUCCAUGCGUUCCAUAUCCUGCAAUCAUUGAAUUCCAUGAGAUUGAAUCUCGAUUUUCAAGUUUUUCAAACACCAUAAAUCCUGGCUUGAAACUUCCACAUUUUGUAUACAUGUUAAUCAAUCCAUUUCCAACCAAUACGUUAUCAUCCAUCCGAGCUCUAAUGACAUGACCAUGCAUUUCCCUACCAAGAUUAAGAGCUGCUAGCAUAGCACAAAUUGAUAAAACACUAGCUAUCGUCACUGAGUUUGCCUUUACAUUUGCAAGCUGCAUUUUACGAAAAACUUCCAAAGAUUCUUCUCCUAGUCCCUUGGAAGCAAAUCCACAAAUGAUUGCACUCCAAGUUAUAACAUUUGGUUUCAUCUCUGGAUAGGCUUCCAUUUUCUCCAGCUGAGAGAGCAAUUCCAAAGCUUUGUCAUAUACUCCAGAUUCAGCAAAGGAGGAUAUAAGAGCGUUCCAACUCACAAGAUUUUUCACUUUCAUCUCAUGAAAUAACUUCUCUGCAUCUCCUACCCCUCCUCCUUUUCCAUAUAAGGUUAUAAGUGCAUUCUUAGCAAACAAGUAAUCAUUGAAACCUCCCUUGACCAUAUAUCCAUGAAUCAUCUGACCGCUGUUCAAUGUAGCUAAAUCAGCACAAACAGAUAACACCACAGCAAGCAUUUCAGCAGUGGGACCAACACCUUUCAUCCUCAUCUUGCAAAACAAUACCAUAGUUUCUUCAAGAUGACCACACCGAGCAUGGCUCGACAGCAAUGAAGUCCAAGUUACUGGGUUUGGCUCAACCCCCUCCAACUCCAUUUGAUGAAACAUCCUAGAAGCACCAUUAACAUCGUAAUUAUAGGCAUAACCAGAAACCAUAGUGUUCCAAGAAACUACACUUUUGAUGCGCAUUUUAUCAAACACUUUCCUGGCGUCAUCCAUUCGUUCAAGCUUCGCAUACAUCCCAAUCAAUUCAUUCCCCACAUGCAAAUGAUUUUGGAACCCAAAUUGCACAACAUGACAAUGUAGAUUUUUGCACAUGUUAAAAGCACCCAAAUUAGAAGAAGCCCUCAAAAGCAGAGGAAAAGUAAACCCAUCCCCCAAAACUCCAUAAUUUCUCAUUUUCCCAUACAGUUGAAGCGCUUCUAUGCAAUACCCAUGAUAUACAUUGGCUCUUAUAAUCGAAUUCCAUAACAAGAAGUUGGAAUAACAUUCAAAUGGCGCAGAACCAAACACUUUUCGGGCAUCAGAAACAAGCCCAUAACGGGAAUAGAUGGACACAAGCCGGGCGGAGACGAACGCUGAACAAUAGGCACCGGUGACAACGGUGGCGGAAUGAACUUGUUUGCUAUGCUGAAUGCCGUUGCAUUGCCGAAGAAGAUGAUCGAAGAAAUCGGGAAGGUCUUCAUCAUAAGUGAUUGAGGAAAAUUGGGAGUGGAAAUUGAUUGAUAAUGGAGGAAAACAAAAGGAAACUGAUUUGAAUCGCUGAUAAGAAGAAGCACAGAGCAUGAAUUGAGUUCGAGGGUUUAGGGUUUUGAAACCCACAAACUUGAUAUUGGCGCGAAUUUAUAAGACACCAACAGUUCGCAAUUGGGACGACAUUGCUAAAAAUUUGGUUCUUAGAAAAAACGAAACGACGAGUCGGAUGAACGAACAUGUCAAAGUAGAUAGUUUUAUAACACAAUUCAUAUAUAGCUCUUUCUUUUUAAUCAAACCACAAUCACAUGAAGUUUUAAAAGUGGUUGGUUACUUUCAAGUUGAAUUUAAUGUUCGAUGAAUGUUAGAUGAUUGCUUCCGGAUCGAUGUAUGUGUGUUGUUUUAUUGUUCAUUUCAUCGAGUUACACCAUUUGAGGAAAAGUCAAUCUUCCACAUUAUAUAUUUGCAUGCAAUUGCUUUCCUCAACUAGCUACAUCCAGAUGCACCAUUUUCUUUCUUUUUCGAGCUAGAGGAGUUGUCACAUUUGCAAUCAAAUUACAAUAGCUCGUUUUGUCAUAAUUGAUCCUUAGUAACAUGAAUAGAAAUCAACAUAUAUAAUAUAUAUUUAAGUCGUUUGAGAUAGUUUGAAAAUAGUAAACCCAAUCGAUCGUCAAUCUCUAUGAAUUAGAAAACUUUUACAACUUAUAGCAAACUUUAUCUCAUUGAUAUACUGAUAGAAGACUAUCUGUGAUAGAAUCUAAAAUUUUGCAAUAAUGCUCCUUAAAUAAACACGUUGAAUAGAAUAAAGUUCUUGAGUUAAAGGUAUGAGAAUGACACUUCGUCCUCAAUAAUCAUGUAUGCAUUACCCAAUUUAUACGGGUAAAAAAAAUUGUAAUCUUUUUAGAUUAAUAAUUGAGUUAUUUUUGUUUAUGUGUGUUUGGAUUGACUAAAAUUUUUUAAUUUUUAUUUAAACUUUUUGGUAAAAGUUGUUUAAAAUGAGUCCACAAACAAUUUAUUUAUUUCUUUUUAAACUGACUUUUUGUUAAAAAAAUAUAUAUUUACGUCAAAAUGUGCAUUCAAACAUCUCUACUAAGUGAACACUUCUUUAGCACUCUCAUCGUUUCUGUUUCAUUGAUGAUAAAGAAGUUCAAUACAAGAAUAAAAAAUCAAAGCAAAAAGUCUAGAGUUACGCCCAAACAAGAAAAACCACAGACGAAUUUAUACAAAAGCGUGAAGGUUUAAAGCUAUGGAGCUAGGAUUAUAGUUGAUAAAUAGUAAGAGGACGAAUGUCUUAGAAUGACUUAUUUUUUAAAUUAAAUAUUUGAGAAUAUAUUCGUAAAACACAACCUAAGUUAUUGAGUUUUGUUAUUGGAAACCCUUUCAUUUAAAACUAUAUAUACAAAUAGAUAUAUGAACAAGUAAACAAAUCUUUUUCCUCUUGCUUUUAUGAUAAUCGUAUAUAUUAGAGUAGAUAAAGUAUGCUAAUUUAAAGUUAUCGAGUUACAACUACUAGAAAAAAUAAUGUUUUUUAAUCACGUUUUUUUAAGUUUAAGUCUCAUUGUUCUUGACGUCUUAAGAAAAAAUACAUUGAAAGAUUCCAUGUCAAGAAUGAGCUAAAUCCUCGUUUGAGAUUAUAUGUUAUAACUCUUGACUAACUAUUUAAAAAACUCAUCAUGAACUAAACCCUCAUUCUUUGUAAAUACUAGAAGGAAUGGGAGGACGUUAAAAUAAGUCUUUCAUGAACAAAAGAAAAUUAACUUUUUCUUUCUUUCUCAUAACAUGAUUUACUUUUGUUGAUUUUAUUUCCAGUGUAGUAUACAAAAGUUGAGUUUAAUACUAAAAAUCCCAACAGAAACUUGAUUUUUAUAAAAGCAAUAUCUGAGAUCACUAUGGAAAAAAACCUUUAAAACCAUGGAUUUUAUUUAAUCUAAAGUUCUUAUCAAGCAUAGACAUAAAUACACCUAUAUCAAUAUUGAGGGGAUCAGAUUGAAACUCAAUUUUUGUAUAAUGUCAUAUUCUUCUUCUUCUUCUUCUUCUUCUUCUUUUUCUUUUCAAAAUAGAAAAUAAUAAAAGAGAGAUCUGAUGCAUGUGAUCCAAAAAACAAUGCUAAUGAUGUAUGCCAUUUUGAUUUUUGUAGUUACAAUAUGCUUUUUAAUUUCCAAUUGAAACCCCCCCAUGUGCCAUUUUCUUUUUUAUAAUGGAAUUUGAGAAAUUAAAAUAAUAACUUGGUAGAAGAACUUAAUGGUAGAUCAGCUACAAAAAUAUAGCUACUGCUUUUUAUUUUAUUUAACACCAAUGAAUGAUUAUGGAAAUUUAUCUUGAGAAAUUAUUUGAAUUUUAAUACUAGUUUUCUUUAGAAGAUUAUAGAAUUAAUCAGUACUACAUUAAGCAAUAAAAUAUUUUAAUAAUUGUCAAAUUUUAUAUGAUAAUUAAAAGCUUGCUGUAAAUUAUGUAAGUACUUUUUUUUAAUGAAUAAUUAAUUAUGUAAGUAGUUAAUAUUACAAAUUAGGUAGAAAAAUGUUAAUUCACUCUUAAAUUUAGUGAUUUAAUUUUCAAGUCUGUAUUUAAUAGAAAAAAUCUAAUAUGUGUUCUAUCAUAUAUAUUUAAUAUUUUUAAAAUUUAACAAAUCAUAUAUAUUACAAAAGAUACUAUAGCUAGCUCCUAAAAAUAAAUAUUAAAAUUUUAUAUUUUUGUUCAAUAAAUUUAUUGUUUUUUAAAAAAAUGUAGAAUAAAUGAGCCCAAAAAUAAAAGUAUACAAAAUUUACCACAUAAAAUUAAAAAAUAAAAUUGAUUAGAUAUGUGAUGAUCUAUAAUUAAUAUAGCUGAGUCCAACAUGUUAUUUGAUCACUUCAACUCUAUAUUUAUCAAAUUCUUUUGGUUACUCAUUAAAAAAUAUGUGAUUGACUGAAAUUAUUAAAUGGUUGUAAAUUAUGAGAGUGCUUAAUGUACAUUUUUCAAAUCUAAUGUCAAAACAUUUUUUUAGUUUCAUUCAACUAUCAUCAUAUCAUCAUAUAUAAGGUUAGGUUAAGGUGUUGAGCUUGAACUAGAUUUUUUAGAAAAAGUAUUUAAUUACAUAAAAAGUAGCCUUAUAAUCAACUAUGAUUACAAUAUUGUGAUAAUGGUUUUGAUAGUAAUCUUCGUGCAUACUUGAUCUAAGGUUUAUUUUUAGCACAUAAUAUUUGAUAAUUCAAAGGUCAAAUAACUAAAAUUAUACGUUAAAAUAUAAAUUUUUUUUAAUCUUUAGUUUAUUCAAUUUUAAUCAUACAAUUUAAAUUGUUUGAUUUGAGUUCUUAUAAUUUGAAUAGAUGUUGAAGCAUUUUUUCUUUUUAUGAUUGUUCAUUUCAAAAUAAUUGUUACCUAAUACUUUUACCAUAUGUUCUUUGACAUAUUAUGUCAUUAUUUAAUCGAUUUUUAUUAAAGGUUACAAAGACUGAUUUGAUUUGAAUGAAAGCUAAAAUGAUGUUUUAAUCAAAAUUAUAAUAGCUUUUGAAUCCUCUUUGAUCAUAUUAAGCCCUUGUAAUUUAAAUUUUUAUUUCGAAAAUUUGGGUUAUGUUGUAAAAUGAGGCACAACGAGAACACGAGUAUAAAAAAAAAAUAUUAUAAAAAAUUCCAUUAUUUCCAAUUUAUUUGAAAUUUUCACUAUUUCUAAGAAUUUUCACAAUCUGCAAUUUGACAAAUAUAAAGUGGAUUACAUGAUGACUAAGAGUUCUAUAUCUUGAAGACACAUGACAAUGUAAUUGAAAUGUGGAGAAAAUGACAUAUGACAAUGAACACCAAACAUGAUAUGAAAAAUUGAUAGUUUACUAAAAAAAAUCAUAAUAAAACAAAUAAAUUUAAUUAUAAAUAAAAUAAGCUUAUAAACUUAAUUUUUAAAGACUAAAUAUUUAAAAUUAAAUAGUUAUUAAUAGAAACUUUUAUUUCUUUUAUAGUUUUUGAAAAUUGUAUUUUUUUCUUAUAAAGUCUAUAACAUCUAUAGCUUUUUUUCUCCUUAAAUUAGUAUUGUUAGCCAGAUUUAGAAAACAAAAACUUUAUUUUUUUUCAAAUUUUGAUUUAGCUUUUCAAAACAAUCACAGAAGUAGAUAACAAACCCAAAUAAAUAAUAGGGUGAAAGUAUUGUUUAUAAGUAUAUUAAAAAACCAAAAUCUAGAAAAUAAAAGGUUAUAUAGCACCAUCUAAACCAAUCUUGUGCUAUUUAGUUUUAACUUUUAAAGUUAUUUGACAUUAUUUAAGCAUAUUGAUUAUUUUUAAAUUUUAGAAUGCUCAUCAUAGUCCAAAGUUCAAAAUUUUAUUUAAAUCAUUUUUAAAUUUUAAAAACCAAAUAUACAUGCAUCUAUUUUAAGAUUUCAAAUUAAAUUUAUAAAACUCGUAAAAAAAUGAAAUAUAUGGUUUAAAAUAGUGAAUGGAUGCUAUAAUAAAACGUAUCAAAUUCUCUAUAAUUCAUUUAAAUAUUUUUACUAUAUUUUGUAAAUAAUUUUUUUCUUUUUUUUAUUUAUUUAUAAAAUUUCUCUAGACAAAAUGAUAAGAUAUAAAAGUUUUAGUUUCUUCUUCUUUUUUUAGUUCGAUAAAAAUAAAGGAUAAAAACUUCAACAAAAAAGUAUGUCUAAAUAUUAGAUGCAAAUGGCAUAGUAUACUUAAACAAGUGACCUCCACCAAAUUAUUCAUGUGUUCUAUGUAAACAUACAUCAAUUUUUAAUAUUAAUUGUCACAUGUUGAUUCAUAAUCACUUCAUUUGUUGUUUAUGUGUCUAAAGCCUAUCCAAUAUUAACCGACCAUAUAAUCUAUCACCUACUUGUCCUCUUUACCUAUAAAUAAAAAUCUUCAGUAAAUCUGGUAAAAACAGACGACAUUGGUGAAAUUUUAAAAUAAUUAAAAAUAUGGAAAAAUAGCAUUUUUCAAAAAUAUAUAUAUAUACUUCUUUUAAGUUAGUGAGAAGGGUCUCUUAUGUGAAGAAAACCAUUAAAAUGUGUAUGUAAGAUAGUAUUACCCCGAAGCUCCCCUUAAACAAAUAUUUCCCUACAAAUGGAAUUCUUUUCUAAAUAUAUAUAUAAUAAAAAAUUCUCUAUUCUCUUUUGAAACAUUAAUAAAUAGAAUAAAAGAAAUGUUGAUUGAAUAUCAUUUUGGUAAAUUACAUGUAGAAUUCUAAUUUUAGAUUCUCAAUAAAAUCUAGAGUCCUGCAAUUAGCUUAGUGUUCUUGAUUUGUUGAGUGUAGGAAUUUACAAGGUGGUUGAACACUUUUCUCUUUUCUCGUUUUGCAAAUAUGACAACAACAAAAAAAACAAGUCUAACCCAACUGAUGCACCUAAUACAUUUGAUAUACACUUGAUACACAUCUCAAUAUAUUUUAUACACAUAUCUAUAUACAUAAAUGUUGAAAAUGACAAAUAAUUAAAUGUUUUUAAGUUAAUGACAAUUAUGUAAAUAUGUCUAUUUGUCAUUUGGGUAAAUAAAGCAAUUUGACAUCUUCUUAAAUAAAUUGAUCUUUAUUAACUUUAGGCGAAAAAAACGUUAAUCUUUUCGGCAUGAAUUUUGGAAAAGUAUUUAAAAACUCUUUUUCUUUCAUGAUAAUUAUUGUUAUCAUCUAACAAAUUUCCAUAAAAUUAAGUCUUACAGCAAAAGUCUAAUUUGAUAUUUUAAUUAUAAUAAUAUAUGUUGUUAUUUGUGGUACCACGAGCUCUGGUAAAAGUAUGGAUUUAGACAGUGAACUUUAAGAAAUUUUUAAAUUUGUAAUAAUUUAACGUAAGCUUUGAAAUCUGUAGAAUUUUAGUUAUAAUGUAUGAGUAAACUUAAUGUAUAUAAUAUAAAGAUUAAAUGAGGGUUACAAAUGAUAAAAAGUAUAUAUAAAUUGUAGAUAAAUAUUUAUUAAAGUAAAUAUAAAUGUGAACAUAUUAUAUAAUAUAUAUUGGUGUGUAUGGGGAUGUUAGGGAGUGGGACCAAAUAGGAGAAAGGAGAACCACAAUAAUUGAAACAUGGAAAUAAAAGGAAAGUAAAGUAAAUGAAAGUCCUUGUAUGCCUCCACCGACACAUCUCUCUUUCUUCAAAAAUAUAUAGAGUAUUUUCUUCUCUAACACAAAACUUAUGUGAUAUAUAUUUGUGGAUACAGCUCAUACACAACAAAUUAAAAUCAAAACCAUUUAAUUAAUUUCAUUACACAACAAAUUUUAGAUUAUGACUCUUUUUUUAACAUUUGGUUUGUGUCCAUCCCGGACCCCCCCACAAGUCCACUCUAUCUAUCUUUCAACUUUCAUUAUUAUUUCAAACCUAUUCUCUCAUUUUAAUCACAAACUAUACAUAUAUUUUUGAGUUGUAAAAAUUAUACAUUUCUCAACAGUGGGAUGAAAUGAAAAUAAUUCCUUAAACAUCUCUCCAUCAUCACAUGGCCAAUCCCUUAGUAUGUCCAUUUUCUCUCUCCAAAAUUCCAUUUUAAUAUAUAAAUAAAUAAAUAACAGCUAGCCUUGCCUUACACACGUUCUUUACACCAAAGAAUAAUUAAGUCGUAAAGCCAGCCAAUUUAAUUCUCUAUUUUUCAACAACUACGUAACAUAUCACCUAAUUAUCAUUUCUUUUAUUCUAAACCUUUCUUUCUUUUUCUUUUUUUAACUAAUUCAUUUCAUUCAAUUUACUAUAUUAUCUCCAACUCUACAACUUACAUCCAAUCCAAAUAAUUCCAAUAUUUAUAUAUAUAAAAGGAAAAUCAAAUUCUUACCCACAAUUCAAUUUUUCAAUCAUCAAACUUAAUUCCAUUUACAAAAAAUAUUCUAAAUAUUUAAAUAAAAAAAAUGUUACCAAAGUUUAAGAGAAAAAAAAAAAGGUAUAUAAUCAGAGAUGACGAAAAUUAAAUUUCCGGAAAAGAAAAUACAAAAAAAAAAAAGUAAUAAUAAUAAUAAAAUAAAACCGGAGACCUUUUUUUUCUUUUCUUUUCUUCUUCUUCUUCUUCCUCGUGUUCUUGAUGUUCUUCCAUUGUUCUUUUAGAUCGUCCAUUUCCAGAUCUUUAUUCUAAGAUCAACCUUACAUUUUGCACCGGAAGUUGAGGCGGUCGCCGGAGAUUUACCGGUUGGAACGUUUACGGAAAUUCCAUCACAUGUAACUCUAAUUCCGAUUUUAGGGGUUUUAAGUGCUCCCAUCUUCAGUUUCACCUUCGUAUCGAGUUGAAUCUGUAACGGCAAACCUUUCUUGCUUUUCAUACUACUCUUCAAGGUGCUUUCCGAUGAACUAUCCAGUUGCUGCCCUUUACUGAUAACCGAGGUUUUCAGUAGCGUCGUGUUCUUUGUUUCGUGCACGAAUCCAGGCAAUACUCCAUCUCCGAUAUCUAUUUCGUUUGAGAAUAUUGAAAUCGAGACUGGAUUGUAAGUGAACACGAGCUUUUUGUUAGGGUUUCUAGUGGAAACGUUGAGAUCGAACUUCGAAUUCAGGAGUGAAGAGGAAGUGAUGUUGAACUGAGAGAGUUUCACGGCGGAGACGGAGAAGGAAGGUCGGUGAGGGCGGUAGAUUAGGUAAACGACGGCGGAAGCAAUGGCGAGGAGGAAGAUUAGGAGGAUGAUAGUAAGGGAUAACCAAAGGCAAACAGAGCAGCAGCAACUACGGCUGUGACGACGGCGGUGGUGUGGUUGAGGACGGUAGGCAGGGCGAGAGGCACCGUAGAGUUGAGACUUGGUGGCGGGAAAUGGAGCGGUCUUGGGAGGGGCCGGAGGAGCGCCGUUGGAGGCAGCGGCAGCGGCGGCGGCGUUGGGAUGGACUCUGUCCGUCAUUGGGGGAGGAGGAGAAGGGAAUUUUGGAAAUGACUUUUUUUUUUUUUUUCCUUUUAAUUUAUUUGAGUGAAAUGAGAAAAUGGGAAUUUAAAGAAAGAAAGGGGUUUUUAAAAAAAGGGGAAGUUUGUGCGCCUUUUUAACAAAUUUUAGAGAGAGAAAGACUUAGGGGGCUCAUUGUAAUUUGCAGGAAACAAAGGGGUUUAUUUGAAAAUCUGAGAAUAAAAUUCUUUCUUUCAUAUUUAUCAAAUCUAUGUUUAACUUUAUUUAUUAAAUAUAUUUUUAAAUAAAUAAACCACCUUUCAAAAGUUCUAUUUUGUCCAAUUAAUUUCAACUUAAUUGGGCAUACCUUUAUUAUUGUUCUUGUAAUUAUUACUAUUUUGUAAAAUAUUAAUGUUGGCCGAAGUUUUAUUUAUUUCCUCAACUUUUCUCAUUACUACAUGCAUUUGUCUAUUCAUUGUUUUCUAAUAUUAUAAUAAAAAAUUAUAACAAAUACCAAAAUAAACUAAAAAAUUUUAGUAAUGGACCCAAAAAUCAAUAUGUAUUAGUAAUAGAUAAUGAUAAAUAGUGAUAUUUUGUUAUAUUAUUUUCAAUAAUUUAACUUAGGAGUAUGUAACGUUUUAUUAAAGUCAAUUUUUUAAAUGUUCAAAUUGAUCUCGAUUAUUGAAAAGUAACUCUUUAAAAUAUUAUUUAAAAGUUUUUAAUUUGAUUUUUCUGAAAUUGGCACUAAUUUUUGGAUGGACUAUCAUUUUUAAAAUUUUCAAUCAAAGGCAAUUUAAAAAUUAUGAAAGUAAUUUGUUUAAAUAGAGAAAAUAAUAAUAGUAAUAGCUUUGGUUUUGGUUUUGUUUUUAGUAAGAAGUAAGUUUUGAUGGAGUGAUUUUUGUUAAAAGGUUGCUGUCGGCUUACAAAUUCAACCUUUCCCUCAUCCAAUUAUUCCCUUCCCAACUUCUCCCCUCUUCUUUUUUGUAUUUUUAGGUUUAAUUAAAAGAAAUUACAUUUCAACCUUUUUCUUUUUUUAGAAAAAAUUCACUUUGUAUCGUUCACAAUUUACAUAAUAUUUAAACCUACUAACCUUUUUAAAGAUAUAUAAUAAAAAUUAAUCUUUUUAUUAUUAACUAAACUAAUUAUAUAUACAUUAUCUAUUGGAUUUAAUAAAGAAAUGAAGAAAAAAAAGGAAUAGCAUUUUUUAAAAUGAAAAAUAAUAAAUAGUGUUAAAUUUCUCAAAUUGAAUAUUAUUAAAUAUCAUGGUAGCAGUUUUCUUUUUGUCUUUUUUAUUUAAUUUCUCGUUCUUCCUUUUUUCUUAUCAUUAUUAUUAGAAAACUUUUAAGACAGUAGAUUUUACAGCCUACACCAAAUUUUGAUAGUCACUCACUAUAGCGAUUGAAGAUUAUCAGUGAUAUAAUUCAAAAUUUUAAACUUAUAAAUAUUUUAAUUUAUUUUGCUAUUUUUAAAAAUAUCUGUUAUUAUUAUUAGAAAUAUUUGUAACAAAAAUAGGUUUGAUAUUAUUAUUCUUUCUUUAUUUUUCAUUUUAAAAUCCUAAUUUAAAAGUUGAAGUUUUCCUUUCUUGAGAAGGAUUGAAAUUUAUGACGUCAUUAUUUAGUAUUGUUUUUAUAUUUAUCAGUAGAAAUUAUAAAAAUAAAACUAUAUAUAUUUGUUCUUUUAGUAGAAAAUGUAUAGGAAGUUAUUUUUCCCUAAUUUUUCUUUAUAUAAAUCUUGUAAAGUUUCAUAAAAGGAUUCAAUUAUGAGCCAAAGAUGGUUAAUAAUGAUAUGACUAUGCUUCUCAAAGUUUAAAAAGUUACUAAAAUAAUUUGAUGGGUGUGAUUUGUAUACAUUCAAUUUAAUCCAAAAUUUAGUUUCAAUUUAAUCUCUCUAAUCUAGAUUUAGAUUUAGUUUCUCUUUUAAUUUCAAUUUAAAAGUUCAACAAUCCGGGGUUCAAUUUCUUCACCUCCAAUUUAUAUUAAAAAAAUAAAUUAAUUAACUCCUAUAAUAAUUAGUCAAAUAUAUGACAUAACCUAUUAAUUAAAUAGGUAAUUGAGUGACUAAAUCAAACCAUGUAGCAUUGAUACUACAUUAAAAUUUGUUACACGAAACCAAACUAGUUGAAAUUAUAAGUAUUAAAUUGAAAUUAUAUAAAGUAAAUUGAAAUUAAUAGAGAGCAUAUUAGUCAUUUAACAUAAAAGUUGAAAUCUAGAAAAAAGAGAAAGAAAAAAAAAGGAUAAAUAUGAUGAGAGGGUGAGAGUUGGAUUUAAGUAUUGGAAACCCAUAGAGAAAGUGAGAGUCAACCAUCCAUUGAUGGUUCCACCUCACCUCCUCGCCCCUUGUGUUUUGGUGUUCACUUAUAACAACUCAAUUUUCAAAUAUAUCCCUUUCAAUUUAACCUAUAAGUUGAUAAUUUCUCUCUUUUGUUUAUCUUUACAAUAAAACUAAAUGUGUUGUUGUAAUGCAUUUUCUUUUGAUUCAUGUUCAAAUAUAUAAUUAAAGUUUUCUUAUUAUUCAAUUAUGGUUUUUUUAAUUUUAAAUCUUAUUUGAUAAUUCUUACACAAACGUUGAGACAAUUGUUUUAAAUAUUUAUAUAUAACUGAUAGAAUAAAAGUUGAUGAGAAUGUAAUAUGAAAGAGAUGGAGGGUAAGAUUAAAAUAUAACUUCACAUGUAGUGAUUAUGAAAUAAUAAAUUUUAUAUAUCCAAUGGUAAUUGUAAAAAGUUAACUUUUGGUUUGACUUGGUCAAGUGGGAAUUAGGUUCCCCUUCUCUAUCCUUCUUUUGCUUUAUAUAAUUCACUUCAACCUCCAUUUGUCAUCAAGUGAAUUAGGUCAUACUCAAUUGUAUAAUCACACAUAUAUUUUAACUUUUCUCCUUCCCUUUUUUUCUUCUUUUUUAAAGCUAUAAUUGUUUAUGACUAUUUGAUUGAGUUGACUCACUUUUUCAAUUGCAACUCCUACACUAAUAAAUGGGGCUGGAAUUCAAUGUUUUUGUUUUUAAUACUUAACAAUUGGUCCAUUUGUAUUUCCAAUGGAGUAUCUCCCAGUUUUAACUAAAUUCUAAUUAAUGUAAUUGAUUCUUCAACCUCAAUCACUCAAUUACACAUCCAAAUGGUUACAUAAGUCUUAAGUAUUGAUUUUUGUUUUAAAUUGUAAGAGAUUUUUGUUUCAAGAGUAGUUUUAAAAUGCAAAAUUGAAAAAUAUAGAGAUAUUUUGAAUGAUUUAAGGGAGAAAAUUGAAGGUAUUAAUUAGAAUAUAAAAAAUAAAAAGUGAUAUUUGAGAUUGAGAAAUGUCAAAGAGAGGAGACCUAGAAUUGCCUGUUUGGGUGUUUGUUUCUUUAUUUCUUAUCUGUCUCCCAAUCAUUGAUAUUUAUUAUUUUUAAUUAAUUUCUCAAAUAAUUCAUACAACUUUCUUUCUUUCUUAAAUAUCAAUUUUCAUAUUAUUUCCUUUCUUUUUUUUUUUCUUUUUUUUUGUAACAUUUAGCAAUAAUUCAAUUCAACAUUUCCGUUAUAUAUUCAUACCAACCACUUUCUGCGGAUCUAAACAAAUUAAUUAAACUUAUGUUUAUUUCUUCCUAAGGUCAAUAGCUAAUUUUGAAUAUUCAAAUAAUAUGUAUAACAUGCUAACAUAAAUUACAUUUUCAUUUUUCUCCUAAUAAAAUUCAACUUGGAAUUUUAUUAUUGGCUAACUUAAUUUCAAUAAGAGAGAGAAAAAAAAGAUACAUUUAAGAAUUUCUAUAUUAUUCGUGAGUGUUCGCGCUAUAGUUUUUUGUUCACGUUGACACAAACAAUAACUAUUUAACUCUAUUAUAUAUGUGAUUUUAAUGAUAUAUGAGGUUCGAGAUCAAACCUCAUUCUCAAGGUUGAUAAUAAAAGCCAUUUAGCUAUAUUCUCAUGUUAUAUAAUAUACACUAUAAGAAAAAGGGUAUUUUCUCAAUGCCUAAAACCGUUAACAAAAUAGUUUAAAAUGUGUUAGAGUCAUAUUAAAUCUUACAUAGGUGAUUAUCAUUGCUUAAACACAUUAGACAUUCCCUUUAUAUAUUUUAUUAACAAAAAACAAAUCAAUUUUAACCAUAGAUUUGUCAAAAUGUUUCAAUUGAAACUCCAAACUUUUAAUUUCAUCAAUUGUACGAUUGUGGAGGUGCAUAACAUUAAAACUUAAACAAAUGAAUAUGUUGCGAUUUUAAUUAUGUAAUAAGCGCUAUCAUGCUAAGUUUCAUUGAAAUAAAUGGUACGUGGCUAUUCAUAUAAAGUUGUAUUGUUUCAUGAAUGAACAUAUCUUUUUGAAAAUAACGAGUUUGAAGAAAAGACACAAGUAUUCAAAUACUUACAAAUAAUUUAUAAAUACCUCUAUUUUUCAAAUUGUUUUUUAGAACUUUUUACCAUAAUGAUUUUCUCUCAUAAACAUUUCUCUCUCUUGUAAACUUUGUUUAAGUUUGGUUUAUUUCUAUAAAGUAUGGUUUGUUAGAUAGUGUGGAUGAGGUGUUGCUUACAUGAAAAAGUUAAUCUUUUCUACUUUGAAAGACAAAUACUCAUAAAAUUCAAGCACUAGAAUGAGUAAAAUUGUCUUAAAGAGAUAACAUAAAUUCAUUAAGUUCAUACUAUAUUCGGUAUACCAAGUUCUAUAUUUUCUAACUUUUAUUAUGAUAUUAUUUCUAUAACAAGUAAUAAGAUUUUUAUGCAUCGGAUGAAUUAUCGAAUUAAAAUGAAAUUGUUAAAUUUUAGGGAAAAUAAUAUUUUUUUUUAUUGAAAUUUAGGAAAUUGUCAAGUUGUUUCCCACCAAAAUCGAUGAAAUUAAAAGUUCAGAAUCCAAAUUAAUGUUUUCCCUUAUUGUUAUUUAUAUUCAUCCUUAUAAGUUGGCUGGUCUGUUGGAAAAAAAUUCAAACCUUAAAUUAGAGUUGGGCAUGUGAUAGACAAAAAAAAUUGAGCCUAAACACUGAAUCAAGGGUCGCAGUUGUUGAUAUCGGUUUGUAAACAACAUUUAAAAAAAAAUUAAAUACGGUAAAUCAAUCAACUUUCGUGGUCAAGAUCAAUUUAAACAUUUACCAAACUGAUCAUAGUUAGUUCGAUAGUGAUUUGAUUUGAAAAGUGACUCUCACCCACCAAUGCUCACACUCAACACAAAUCCAAAUAAUUCCAACACAGGAAAAUUUUGAAGAUAGUACCUUAAAAAAUGAUUCAUCUUUCCAAGAAAAAGUGACCUAUUUUGAUGUGAAUAUUAGUGCAAGUACAUUGUUUUUGACAUAGCUUACAAAAAGUACAUUAAAACAAGUAAAAGAUAAUGGAAUUCCAACCCAAUGAGACAGAGAUGGAGGAUUUUGCAUCCCAACCUAACCUGGACCAGAUAUGCUUUACAUUUGUAGGCAAAAUAGGCAUGGGGAAAGUUGUAAGAAACUGAACGAGCUUUUGUUUUCUUCUGUGUGGCAUUUGUCUCUUUUAAUUGUCUUCUCUAGAACCACUUUUCGUUCCAAAAUCACUACUCUUUUUAUAUUACAUGCCCAAUUUCCCCUCAGAUCAAAACAGUAUCUUUCCUAUUUUAGUCUUAUCAACAAAACCCUUUUCCCAUUGUUCCACUAAGCCUCCAAAAUAGUCCCCUCUUUGUCUCUUUCCAUUUGCCUCGCUUUUUAUACACCUCAACGGUCUUUCACCAAAUCUUCUAAAAUAAUAUAUGUGUGUGUCUGCUUUGUGAUACGAUAGUGGAUGAGAUUUAUCUAGAUGGGAUGAAUCUUUCUACCCCACAAUUCGUUUAAGGAAAUGGGUACAAAGAAUGGUAAAUUGGUUCAAACAUGCAAUGGUCCUAGAAGUUAAAGGAUUUGAAAGAAGAAAUAAAAAUGAUGAUAUAGCUAGAAGCAGGCCUGGAAUGUUUAGAAGUUCAUAUGGGAUAAAACUUUAUAUGCAUUGCCCAGACCAAGCAAGCCAAAAUCCUACAGUUUAACUACUUAGAUAGAUAGGAGGAAGAGAUGACAUAAUUACAUUUUCACAACCAAACCUGGAAACAUGCCCAUUGCGAUAGCUACCAUGCCAGAGCUCGGAUAUACCCUAUAUACCAGCUGUCUUUCCCAGUCUAUCCUUCAAAAUCUUCAGCCCCAUAUACCUGCAGCAUAAGAUCAUCCCAGAAUAAAGCAAAUUAAAAUUCCAAAAUUCAUAGUGUAUAUAUAACUUUGGUUCUUAUAAAUUUUUGUUGAAACCAAUGGAAAAUUAUACUCUAAAUUUCGAAUGAGCUCAUGAACUGAUUUUUAUCCUUACCUUCCCAUCAUCAUGACGGUGGCUUGAGGAUUGGUUCCAGGAGAUUCAUCAAAGGUUGAUCCAUCAACGACACGGAGACGCGAAACACCGAGAACCUUGAGAUCAGGGCUCACUACCUUGCCGACAUGGCACCCUCCAUGGUAAUGCCAAAUUGUGAUAACUGUGUCUCUGCAGAACUGCUCUAAAGACUUGGUGUCAUUGGUAUGCUUAGGAAUGAGAUUGACAUUUGCCUUCACAGUUGCAUUAAGUAACUUCUCAAUAGUUUCCCCAGUAUUUUUUGUGUACUCUCUGAAGUGUUUUGACUGCACAACUUUUGCUGCCGUGCGAAUGCCAUCAAUGCACCGGUGAAGGUCGUAUGGGUGAUUGAAGUAGUUGAAGGUCACAGAUGGGUUGUCGUCAACAUUGGUGUUAGCCAACGUAAGUUGCCCUGUCGAUAGAGGAUUGGCAAUCUUUUCAAGAAUGAAACCGCCCUGGAAUGCCUCCUGCGGUAAAUCACGCUUCCUUGUGAUGUAAGCUUGGACGGCCUCCCAGGUUCUUUGCUUUGGGGGAAUGGUAGAUAGUUGCCCGAUCUGGUUACAUAACAAAUGCAGAUGAUCAUACACCCAAUACAAAUCAGUAGCUAACUUUCUGAUUAAGUAAUUCUAGAGUCCAUGGCAAAUAUAUCAUUGAUUUCAUGACUUAAAUAGCUUGUUUCAUGUGUCUACCAAGACUAUGGUUUGAAAAAAUUACAAUAUUUUCAUUUAUUUCUCUGAGUUCCUUAUGCUUUUGACAUUGUGUUCUUUUAAAUAUGUGACAAAUCAUGGCUGUUAACACUCAUAGAUAAUUUACAUGUCAAUAUAUGAAUGUUUCGUUCAAUGACUAGAAAAUAAAAACUCCUUUGUAUCAUAAAUGAUGAAAUCAGAAAUCUAAUGCUUAUAAGAAAGGUAGCUUACUUCAGCUGACAUCAUCCCGUGAUUGCAUCGAAUGCUAUCUGAAGACUGCCCAAAACCGCUGCUAGAUUCAAUGUAAACACCAAACUUUGUAAUCCCAACGGUCUGUAUAAGAGAUUUCUUGAUAGGCUUGUUGGUGGGAACAAAGACAGUGUUCAUAGGGUUAUCAGCCAUUCCUUUCCCAACAAACUCAUUAUCAAGCACUACAGAUAUGUUCAACUUUUCAAGGUCUGCUCUUGGCCCAAUGCCACUCAGCAGCAACAUUUGAGGUGACCCAAGUGCUCCGGAAGAUAAGAUAACCUCACUCUGCCUCCUAUUUCUUAGAACUGCUUGAUGUCUAUUCCCAUUUUCAUCCUUAAAGAUUACUCCCACUGCCUUUGGUUGCUUCCCUGCAAAAGUCAUUUCCAGAAUUAAACCAAGACUACAUAGUUCCUUUCUAGUUCAAUCAAUCUCUACAACUUUCAGUUUCAGCAUUAUGUAGUUCUUAUAAAUGAAAAUAUUUCUAAGAAAUUCGAUCAGUUAAAGUUGACUGCAAGCAUCUAUUAGACCUCAAAUGGAAAGUUCGAAAAGCUACAACUUAUAAGUUCUAUAGAAAAUUUAUGGGCUUGUUUGGGCCCAUUACUUCAAAGUGGUUGUAUAGCUAGCACACUCUAUGUUUGGGAUUCCAAUUGGCAACUAUAAUAGUUGACAUUUCAUUGUUACUAUUUCAAAUUCUUUUUCAUUACGGAGUUUACUAUUUCUUACUCAUUUUCUUUGUCAAACCAUAUAACUCAACGUCUCAACCAAUUAAUUCAAAGUAAAUGAGAGCAAAAGCAGUUAAGAUUGGAAACAUAGAAUUCCCAUUGAAGUACAUUGUAAUAGGAAUUUUGAGAAAGAGUUUGUGUGCAGGGUGACUCAACAUACCUGUAGUAUCAAAUACAAUGUUCUGGACAGUGGCAUAAACCAAGACGGUGAGCUUGUGGGGGUCGGCGGUGGCCAAAAGUUCAGCAGCAGUGUGACGGCGGCCGAAGCGGUCGAAGAUGGUGCCGCCAAAUUUGGUGCCGUAAAGAUGAUCGUAGGUGAAGCCAUUGAAAGGGGAGAUGCCAACAUCCAAAAGACUGUCUCUGAAAGCUGUCUGCCAUGGGGAGAGCUUAGGCCGAUGAACAAUCUGCUUCUCUACCCAUGGGUAUGAUUGAUUAACAAGUUUCGCAUCCCAACCCACUUUCUCUAUGAACCUGAAACCACACCAUUGUUACCGUUUGCCAUUGCUUCGUUCAAGAAUACCCAUUUUGUAGAUUUAUUCAAAAGCUGAAUUAAUAAAAUUCAUGAAUCAAAAUAGAUUUGAAUUAGAAGCCAUCAACCAUUUUCAAAUCUAAAAUUCAUUCACUUAAAAAUGUACUUCACCCCUACUUGAAUCAUUUUUCAUAAAACUAUACUUAUUGCAAAAUAGGAUGCAAUCAAAUCAUUUAAAAAGUAUAUAUUGAUAAACCCAAGGUUUAAAUUAAUAAACAUAUUAAUCUACACUUCGAAUCAACCAUUGAAGGAGGGCAUGUCUUAUGUAUCAUUUGAGCAAUGCUCAAUGAACGUUUUUAAGGGAUGAAUUAAAAAGAAAAAAUAGUGGAGUUUUUGGAAAAACAUUAGAGAUAAAAGGAGUUGUUCUUAAACAAAUUACAUAAAUUAAAGCAUUUUCCACUUUUUUUUUUCUUCAAAUUUUUUAGAGGAGAGAAACCAAGUUUUCUCUUUUUAAAUUUGUUUUAAUUCCUUCUAUUUUUACUUUUUUUUCUUUGUAAUUAUUUCCAAAACACAUAAAUAAUUGAUUGUUUAUUUUAGUUAUUAAAUUAUUUUUAUUUAAAUUCUUGUUGUAAAAAAUGAUUUAAAAUACAUUUCAAUUAAUAACUCGUUUUUAAAUUAAACAUGUAUUCUAAAUUAAUUGUAACUAAAACAAAGAAAGUGGCUUCUCUCUCCUAUGAACAAUUUUUUUUUAUUAAUGGUUCUGAUAGAUGAAUAUUAAUCUAAUAUAUAUAUGUAUAUACGUAAAAAGUAUAAUUGAAUAAUUUUAUGUGUGGUAAGUUCAUAAUACACAAAUGGCCUCACCUAACUCUCUUUUAUGACCUAACUAUUAUAGACAAUAUUAAAUUGGAGAGAGAGAGAGAGACACUGCCCAUUUAAUUUAAUUAAUACAUUAAGAAGGGGGAGGUUGAAAUUCUUAAAUGUUUUGAAUUUAUUGUACUAUAUAUCAUAUUCUAAUUAAUGUGUGACCUUCUCCUCACAAUUAUUCUUUUUUUUCUUUUCUUUUAAUCUUUUGUCAAAAUUUCAAUUAACUAUUCUUCUAUUUAAAUCUUGUGUCCCCUUAAUUGUUUCCUCUAAAUAGCAAUGUAAUCUUAUUUUUCCAAAUAUAACCUAUAAGCCCAUUAUCAUAAUACAAACUUUUCUCUUUUUCAUCUCUAAACUAAUUGAUUUAUCAUUUACGUUUUAAAAUUUACAAUUCAGUCUAUUAUAAAAAAUUUGUCUCACAUAUCUAAUAAGCCCUUCUAUAUUCUUACGUUUUUCAUCUUUUUUUUUUUUUUUUUUGCUAUUAACCUAAAAAUGGUAAAUCAACAUUUUUUAUUAUCUCUUUAAAAUGUAUCUAAUUUAAAUAUAAUCUAAAUAAUAAGCAUGUUAACAACUGUGUAAAUACAACACUUAUA